CUUUAACUCUUUUGGACCUAAAAUUAUGAAGAGAUUAUGUUAUUAACAAGAGGUAAAUAUCCAAAAUUACAAGCUAAAGAUUGCAAUCAAUAGUCUUUGAUAGUCUUGUACAACACAAAGUACAAAAGCAUUGAGAGGAGAAGAGGAAGAAAGAUCACAAUCCGUUUUGGCGCCUUAACAUCAAAACUAUCACAUCCUUCUUCAAAAAUCGUUUCCAAUUUAGGCUGUGAAAAGCUCCUCGAUAAUCGUCUCUGCUGAAUCCGAUGAGACAGUGAAGGUGUUACCUCUCCCCAUGUUUGAAUAAACCUCAUUUCAUUCGUCAUUGCUAUGAAACUAUGAAAGAUAAGUUUUUUUGUUGUCCUGAAAUGGGCAGAGGAAAACAAGAUUAAGGUGUUGGAUAAAAAAGAUGGGAACAAAGGAAUGGUUUAUAUAGAGAAGAUUAGAAGACUUUUUACGGUUAUAUAAGUAUGGGAAAAUGUCAAUAUCCAAAAAUAUCUGGACAACGACGCGCUAAUCUCUUAAUUUAAUUCUUGUGUUAAAUUUAGAGAUUCUAGAAAGUCAUAUAAAAAACAGUUAAUAUACUUACCCGAAUAAACCAGUUGGACUAUUUUAAGGUGUUUUUCCUGACAACAAAAUCUCAUUAUUAAAGUUUGUUAUAACUUGUGUUACUGUUAUGCAAUCCAUUAUAGAGACAUGGGACGUUUUUAUUUUUAAAAUUACAUUCUAUUGUUUGACAUUUGUUAAAUGUUAUAUUAUUAUAAAUGUUCAACAUUUGCUAUAUUAUAUAAUAAGUUUAGCUAAUUAGAUCAUUUUUUAUUUUUAUUUUCUUUUUGGAUGGGUAUAUAUACUUUUUGUAAACAAAGUUAACAAAGUAAAUGAACAAAUGUUAUUAAAAUUGAUCAUUUCUGGGCUGAAAGUAGCCCAAGUAAGUCCACCGGUUUCACAUAUUUUCUUUGUUGAUGAUAGCCUCUUCUUCUGUAAAGCGGAAAUUCAGCAGGGAGCUGAGAUUUUCAGGAUUAUUGAUACAUAUGAAGGGGCCUCGGAACAACAACUUAAUUUGGGAAAAUCCUCCAUUAUGUUCGGGAAUAGAGUGGAUCCGCUUUUAAAGGAAGGCAUCAAGAAUGCUAUAGGGAUAUCAUCAGAGGGCGGCAUGGGGAUGUACCUCGGCCUCCAAGAGCAGAUCUGUGGAUCAAAGAAGAAAGUCUUCUCCUAUGUUCAUGACCGUCUGAGCAAUCGGGUCAAUAAUUGGUCUGCAAGACUUCUUUCCAAAGGUGGAAAAGAAAUUCAAAUCAAAUUCGUUGCACAAGCCGUCCCUACGUACGUCAUGUCAUGUUUUCUAUUGCCCCAAGGAGUGACGGACAAAUUGCGGAGUGCCAUUGCCAAUUUUUGGUGAAGCUCAAAACAGAAUAGUAGCGGAAUACACUGGAUUGCUUGGGAUAAGAUCUGUGUCCCUCAGGAUAUGGGAGACCUCGGAUUCUGAGACUUAAAAGACUUUAACCUAGCCCUUCUUGCAAAACAGCUAUGGCGCCUUAUCCAAUAUCCCUCAUCACUCUUGGCUCGGGUCUUAAGAGGCAGAUAUUUUAACCGGUCCGACCUUCUAGAAGACCGGAACGUUUACUCACCAUCAUAUGGGUGGAGGAGUAUAAUGGCCGCAAAACCGUUUUUGAGGAUGAGACUGAGGAAGACAAUUGGAUCGGGCCUAAAUACGAGAGUGUGGAGCGAACCGUGGAUUCCUGACCUUAGAGCUCGGCCGCCUAAACCGGCCCCGCAUAUCGGAUUUCAAGAGCCGGAAAUCCUGGUAUACUCUUUCAUCCGCCGAGACACCAAACAGUGGGAUGUUCCCUUGCUUAGAGAUUUUUUCCAUCCUGAGGAUAUUCCCCUUAUUCUCGGGCUGAGACCUAGCCAGACCCGGACCUUGGAUGGAUAUGCCUGGAAUCAUUCCAUAUCGGGACUGUACUCAGUCAAGUCUGGAUAUGAUCUAAUUAGAAGAACGAAGAUUGAACGAGAAGCUGAAGCGUUUAGGGAACCAAACAUCACGGCCUUACAACGACAUGUUUGGAGAGUUUGUUCACCUGGAAAGAUGAAACACUUUAUGUAGCAAUCUUUAUCUGGGUGCGUGGCGACAUGCCAGAACCUCACAUACCGACAUUUGGGUUCCGACAAACGCUGUCCCCGCUGUGGGGAUCCCGAGGAAACCAUAAACCACCUACUGUUCUUAUGUUUCCCGGCAUUACAAGUCUCGGCGUUAUCGGACUUUCCGUCCCUUCCGGGUGUCUUCCCGAGUACUUCUAUUUAUCAAAAUAUGAGCUUUCUCUUUUGGAAAACAAAAGAGCUAGGCAUGACGGACCCUACAAAGGAUAUUUAUCCUUGGAUCCUAUGGUUUAUUUGGAAAGCAAGGAACGAGAAGAUCUUCAAAGGGAAAGAAAUUUCCCCGGAGGAUACAUGGAUUCAUGCAAAAGUGGAAGCAGAAAGUUGGAGAGUUGCGAACCAACCUGAAGACAGCGACGACACUCAAGUUGAGGAAGUAGGCCUUCCACCGGACACCAUUGCGAUACCCGUGGUACCGCAAACCCCAAUAUGCCGGAUUGACGCCUCGUGGAUCAAUCACGGACAGGUUAGCAGCCUCGGUUGGAGCUUUGUGGAUGGCGGAGGAUUUGAACUUUUUGGACUUCAGGGAUGCCGUAGAAGCCUCUCGGCCCUCCAUGCCGAGAUGGAUUUCCUCCUCUGGGCUAUGUCCUGCUUGAGAGAGAGACGGAUUUUUUCGGUUCACUUUCAAUCCGACUGUUUGGAUCUGGUGCGUAUGACUGAGGUUUCAGCUGAUUGGCCGUCCUUUAAUGCAGAGCUAGAUACCUUCCGCCUCCUUCAAGAGAGCUUCUCAGAGUGCAUUUUAUCUCAUAUUCCGAGGGAUCUAAAUGUCCAGGCGGAUAGUCUUGCGAAAGGAGCUCGAGCAAGAGGCGUUAUCUUUUCCCAAAUCGAUCAUAACGAGCUCACCGAUGGUGGUCCACGAAUCACUAAUACGUUGGGCCAAAUGUAAUUGUACUAGAUGGGUAGUGGAAAAAAAAAAUGUUAUUAAAAUUGAUAUAGUUUGUGUUAAAAAAAAAAAAAUUAGUUCUAUCGUUAAAUAUUGAAUCCGUUUAUGAAAUAUGUGGCUUUUUUUUUAAUAUUCAAACAUAUAUCAAAAGUUAUAGAAAUAGAAUGGUGUAGAGAUAUUGUUUUUCACUUCUUCCAUAACAACUAUAUAUUAUUUUUCACAUGAAAUAAAUCAUGGGCAUAGAAAGAUAAUUAAAAAAAAAAAAUAGUGGAGUCAUUAAUUUUUUUUUUUUUGUUAGUGAAGUCAUCUUUGUUCAACAGAAAACACAAAACAAAACGGAAAUAAAUAAAUCACAGUGAAAAUUGGAAAUUGAGGGUUUAGUUGUUUAAGAAGAACAACAAUUGAUCAAUUAGGGGUUUAUAUGAUCAAAGAAAAAAAUCUUUGUGGGCAAAGAAAUCUGAAACUCCUUCAAUGGCGGAAGAAGAGAAGCAAACUUCACCAGAACCUCCUCUUCCUCCUCUGCCGGAAUCUCCAUCCCAACCCGAAGAUCCGCCGCCGGAAACAUCUACUCGUCCGGCUAAUUUCGAUCCUAGUCGAAGUAAGUCUCUGAUUUUCCCUUUUCUUCUGCAAUAUCAAAAUUGAUUUCUAGGGUUUGGCUUUCUACUUCUUAGCUCAUACCUUACUGGGUUUUUUGUUUAAUCUCCCUUCACGUACUCGGAUGUGCAGUCCCCAAAUUCUUCUCCGCCAUUGUUAAUAGUACCCAAAGCUCGCAUUUUUAAAAACUCUAAUCUAAAAUCCUUGGUAUUGCAUAGUCACGAUUUUGACAAGUGUAUUGAGAGCUUAACUUUCCUUUGAUAGUGAGAGAUUAGAGCUGCAAUUGAUGUAAACAAUUCAUUCUGUUUCUUAGUUUCACAAAAUUCAAAUGAAGAUUCGUGAAUGUAUUAUGUGAUUCUCUAUCUGCAUUCUCCAAUAUAUUAACGCUAUCUUCAGGAUGAAUCACUGAUGUUUUUGAAGCAAACCCUUAGUAUCUGCAUUGUGAUAAUUUCGCUAUUAAGCUAACCAAGUGCUUUGAAUUCAUUUGUUUUUGAAAGUGAUUGGGAUCAUCAAAAGGAAGGCCUUGAUCAAGGAUUUAGCUGCAGCUUACCACACCGAGUGUCUUGCUUAUUGCCGAGAACUUCUGGAGCUCCAAAAGAGAAAGGACGAGGUUAGAAACCGAUCUCUUUUCUAUUCAUUGUGAAGACAUUAAAGCUCGUUUGUUUCCUUGUAUGUUCCAAUUGUUUGUAUAUGAACUUGUAGCCUUCUGGUACACAUAUCGGCUCUAUAGAUAUAAAACGGAUCAGAGCAAGAAACUAAUGAAUUACUCUAAGUAUCGGAUUUUUAGUUGUUAUAAGUUUAGUCCUGAACGCAAAGAACCACCGAGGGCAUUAAAUCCAGACGGUUUUCUUUCAAGUUAAGAUUGAAAUUGUUAAAACUUGGUCAGAUAGGUGAAACUCAAUGGCAAAACAAACUGCGGUUUAGGCUAAACCGGUUUUUUCACGUGUUGUAACCUUGUUUAAUUUUGCUUUCUUUAUUUUGCAGCCGUUUCUUGACACAAAAGCUCCAGAAGAUCUGAAAAAGGAGACAUUGAGGUCUUCUUCCAAACGAGCUAAGAAAAAACGUUAGAAGAAAAAAAAACUUGUAUGAUGCUUAUUUUUCUACGAGGGUAUUGAUGUUUAUAGAUCGUCAUGUUGAAAAUGGGAAACUUUAUUUGAUUAUCUACAGUAUUUACACAUUUACAACUUUGAAUCACCCUUUCUAAAGACAUCUCUCAACUAGACCAAGCGAAAAUCCGGUAAACCGGUCUGAGACAAUCGACCACAGCAACCGCUUGAUGCUUUGCCUUCAAACAGAAUCUCUGAAACCAGUUUGUGUCAGGAACAGAGACAAUCAUAGAAGAUUGAAGAUACAUCGAAGCUGCUCUUUUCACGAGCUCGUUUCGAAUUGCGAUGUUUGAAGAAUCCAUAUCAGACAAGAGAAACCCUUCUUGCGAAGGAACACUGUGUUGGUGGUGACAAAACAUCGAACCAAAGCCAUCGGAACUCGAGAUCACAUCUUUCAAGCUCGUGUAACUGAGAUUAUUGUGAUCAUUGUCUUCGGAGAUAAAGAGGAAGGGUGAUUUUUGCAACAUUUGGAAACCUUGUCUCCAUAUUCGUAGUAGGAUUUAAAUGGUGGGGAGACUGAAUGCGUUUUAUAUCUUCCCCUGUUUUAGACGACCGGUGAUACCUUCUAUUUUGCCAGAAUUAUCGGAAAGGACCUAAAUUUUGUGGACUUUCCACUUUUAGACCGCUUAUAAAGGAAAAGGAAACGUGAUCGUCCAGAUUAAAGAAAUUUGAAUAAACGAGAUUUAGUGACUUAAAUAGAAGUCAGUUAAUCUGUGAAUGGUAAUGUCGAGAUUCGAUAGGGGUAAUAAAUAGUUGUUUGCUUAUCUUGAAACGCCCAAGCAGCGAUUGAUCGAUCGAAAAAUUGUGACCCCAACGCAAAACGCUAGCGUUUGGCGUUUCAGCGAGUUCAGGCAGAGAUUGGCUGCAAAACUAAAUUCUUUGGUUUAUUAGUGUUUAAAUUACGGCCCAAAAGAUAUAGUUACAUUGGGCCUUAACUCAAGUACAUAAUACUGGAAAAUUAAUUUCAUCCAUAAAUUCAUAACAUUUUUAUUUCGUUAUAUUUAAAUAUUACUUUUAACGUCAUUUCGUCUGCUUUCAUCAUAGUUUUAAACCUUGAUGGAAACAUGACUUUGAAUUCACUUUAACUAAACAUAUAUAUGUAUUAUAUAAUAUAGAUGUUGGAACAAACAUAUGGGCGUAUGUUGUGGUCCUUCCAUUGUUGUCUGAAUGAUAAAUGAAUAACCAAUAAAAAUCGAGUUUGAUUAGUUCCUAGCUAGACUAGAUAGAAUUCAUUUACAUGUAAUGGGUAAUAAUAAAUUAAUUAGAGUUAAUCUAAUAAUGGAAAGGUAUAUACCUCUGAGUGGACCUAUCUUUCAAAUCACAAUUAGGGUUUAUUCCAUAUUAGAGCAUGUAGAAGCUUAAUGGACAAAAUUAAUCAUGAGUCAUGACCCACUAGAUUCAUUAAUGGUCCAUUUUAAAAGGACACCAACUUCACUUAUCCCUACUUUAAUGUACUACUCUCUUAAUUAAUACACUUGACCCAAUUGUUCUAGAAAUUCCCUUAUCAUGCUUUGGUUUUUUUUUUUCUGUUAUGUUUUGUCAGUAAAAAAAAAAAUUUAACGAAAAUCCUUUUGGUAUUUCUUCAGGAAUUUUUUAAUUUGGGUCAGCUUGAAUUUAGUUUUGAUCUUACAAAAAAAAAAAAAAACAGAUACCAAUUUAUUCCACUUAAAUUUUUAAUCAAGUUGUAUUGUUGUGUCCGGUGUAUGUAAGUUGAAACUUCUAAAAAAAACUACGAAAUUGUCUGGCUUGGAAAUACGUUGCAUUUAGCAAUUGUCAAUUACGUUUAAUACGUUUUGCAAUCCUUAUCUCAACUGUCAAUUCCCUUAAUACAAUAGUUCAAUUAGUAUCAUACUAUUUUUGUUCCACUAGCUAGCAUAAAGGUUACCAACAAAAAAGGUUGUGCUAAAACCUAAAACCUCAACAAUUCUAAUAUGUUUUGUAUCUAGUAUUCUAGUUAUCUGCUUUAUAUAAAGUGCAAAUAUUUUAGAGUUUAAUAGACUGAAUUACUUAUAUAUUUUUUGGUAAACUGACGACUGAAUGAAGCGAUUUAGUUAUGUAGGCGUAUAUCAACGGGAGCGAUUUAGUAAAAUAACUUAUUAACAGAAUAGGUAAAUAGGCGUAAUUUUUACUUUGCUUUCAGGCACGGCUGUUUAAAAUCUUAUUUCAAUAAAUUCUACAUAGAUAACAACUCAAUCAAGUCAUGAAUUAUGCUCAUCGAUCUAGAUAAUUCAUAAGAAGUCUUUAUCAUUGAACCUUUUUGUAUACAUAGCAUAGAAAAAUAAGAGCAGCGUGUGAACGUAUACGUAUAAGACUUACGUAAGUCUUCGUAUAAAGAUGAUUCGUACAUUUUCAACUGGUACUAUAAUAACUUUUAUUUUCAACAUAACAAGACAAUUAACUCAUAACACACUGGUAGAAAUUCGGAUAUUUUAAUUUGACUCCUGACGUGAAUCCAAUUUUUAAUUGAUUUUACUCAACACAAUAUAUGUAAUGUAUGUCUAUUUUUCUUCCAUAGAAGAUGCAGUAUGUUUAAUAGUAAUCCUCUUUUGGCCAUAACUGCAUUUUAAUUUGUGCUUCAAAUCAAUUUAGUUUAAUUUGUAUGCUGGCUAAAAUAUUACAAAAAAAAAGAACUAAAGUAAAAUAAAAUAGUUUCAUAAUUUAUUGUGUGCAAGGCAGUACGUAAGGCACAUAGUGGCAAGACCAGAAAAUAGUACAUGUGCACUAAAAGGCUGUUUAUAAAAUCAUAACAUCACAUCACUAACUGUGGUCAAAACAGUACCACUACAAUACGAAUCUAAUAAAGAUUCAGAUCCAUGCAUUAUUAUAAAUUUUCUAAUUCCCAUUAUUUAUAACAGUUUAGUUUUCAAAAUAUUUAAUAGUUCUAUUUAAUAUACCAAUACUCGAAAUUCUAGAAAUAUACAAUGUAACAAAUAAAACGCAUAAUACCUAUCUUCUACGCCUAUGUGAUAGUACAAAAAGAGAAAGAAAGUAUUCACUCAUAUUAAUACGUUAUUAUUAUAAGUAUUAUACAAGUUCAGUAUUUGUAAAGAAAAUUCGUCCAGCCAAACUUAAAAAAAAAUAGUUUACCUAUUAAAUUCUGAUGAUGAAACUUAAAACUCAUCUGAACAACAUUGUUUACAUACUCUAGUUGAAUCGAAUGGAUACUCAUAACUUAUUAAUCGAAAUUAUGUUAUAUAUGAGCAAAAAUCCAUCAUCAUGAGCAUUCUAGUGGUAUACAUUACUGAGUUACAGAAUAUAAUUACCAUUUUUCCUAACUAACAAAUCGCUUGAUAGUAUACUAUGCGUCUAUGAUGUAAAAUGAAGAAAUGAUUAGCUAUAACUCUAUGCCAAUAAAAUCCUUAGUACUCGCAAUUAAUAACUGAUAUUAACAACAACAAAUAAGAGCCAGGUAUAGGUUUUAGCUUAUUUUAUGUUUUUUAACUUUAACAACAACUUUUAUCCAAAAUGGAUUAGAAUUCAAUAAAAAGGAAUUGGAUGAUGAGCAGAAGCAGAAAUUUUUAAAAUUUAAAUAAGAAAAUAGUACUAAUAGUAAUAGAGAGUAAGCGGAAAUUUGGAUGACCGAGAAGCAGACACGUGCACUGGUCUGGCCGUCUGGUAAAGGCAACAGUGAUCGAGAAGUCAGCAAGUGUCCGUUAAGACAGCGACACGUGCUCUCGAGCCCGUCGUGAACCACUUGCUCCUCCUUUUGCUUCGUUUAUUCUUCUUAAUUACUAUUAUUGAAAUCCACAAAUCAUUUUGAAAAAAAAAAAAAAAUUCCACAAAUCACAUUAACCAUCGCAUAUUCGCAUAUCAAAGUUAUUCAAAUUGCACGAAUGCACAGAUGUUUAAUUCUUAAAAUCACAUUCUACGUAUAUUUUCCAUGGAGUUCAAGUGCUAUGAUGUGGGAAUGACAUAGUUGUAUAAAUUAUAAAAGGGUUUGCAUUCUUGAUCAAUAUGAUUAGUUGAGCGAAAAGGAAUUAUAGAAAGUUUUAUAAAAAGUCAAAAAUUGCAUGCUUCCUUAACUAUCAUUUUCCUUAUCUAUAUUUCCAAUUAUUUAUCUAGUUUUAGAAUACUCAUAAGAGGAAGAGUUUCCCACAUUUUAAGACUUUACACACAUUCACGUUUAAUUCUUUUACAUUUUGAUCUUAUUUAAUUCACGCAUUAUGAAUAGAAUCGAUCCAUUUAACUCGUUACUGAGAACAAAAAAAAUAAACAGAUAAAAGCAUGUAUAAAUUGCGAAAUAACGUUAUACGUAUGGAGACUGAUUUGUAAAUUAGUUAGCACAAACAACAAAGAAAGUAGGUGACGAUAAUCAAUUUCAAGAUCUUUUUAACUCGACAGAUAGAUCUUCCGCUCUAUUUGAUAUACUAUUACAGGAAGAAUCAAGAUUGAAGAGGAGAGAAGCAGAGAGAAAGGCGCGUGACUUGUUAUUAAACGUUAACGUUUGUAGUUAAUAUGACUGCUUUUUUGAGUUUUUUUUCUCAGUUUCUAACAACAUUACAUAUCUCUCUAUAUUAUUACUAGAAAGUAACCACAAAGUAACAUAUUAUAUCAGAUAUUUAUUUUUUUAGGCGAAGUGUCAUGAUAAAUAAUUUUUUUUUUUCAAAUUUAUGGUUUUAACCAAAAUUAUGUGGUCUAAAAUGUUGAUCUGAACGUUAAAAUAAAAUUUAUAAAAAUACACCAGUGUGUAAAAAGUCUUGUUUAGAUCAUAGCUAUGUUGAACUUUUUCCACCUUUUUUGUUUUUUGAACAAUAUGAUGUUCUUCUUUUUGAUCUUCCUCCAAUUGAUCCAUUUCUUGUUUCAUUUUCUAAAAACAUGAAAAAAGAACAAAUUCAGUAUAUAAUAUGUAUACAAAUAUAAAAAUACAACUUUAUUACAUAAAUCUAAAUAACAUAAUUAUAAACCUAUCUAACCACCUAACUAUAGAUUGAUUUUAAUUCUAAAUCUAAUAAACCAACUAAAAAAAUCAAAAAUACAAAAGUUUUAAGAAACUAACCUUUUGUAAUGUUAGAGAGAGCAAAAAUCGAUUUUAAAAAGAUAGUUAAAAUUUAUAGUUGUGAGAAAUUGAGAGAAGAAGUUAUAUUUAUAAAAAUAAUUGUGACAAAAUUUUAUGUCGGAGAUCCGUAAAAAACAUUGAUUUACAGAAAUUCAAAAUUUUUUAUUUUUCUUUUGACGGUAUUUUUUAUUUUCGUCGGAAAUCCAUCAAAAAUCCAUGAAAAAAUCUGUUUAUCUAGAAAAAUUUGCCAAAAAAAUUUGGUGGCCAAAUUUUGUGGGUUUCAUGGUCAAAUUUAAAAUUUUCGACGGAAUUCUAAUAGAUUUUAAAAAUUAAUUACAAAUAAAUAAAUAAAAAUACUUAUAAUAAAAGCAAUCAUAUCCGUCAUAUAUUUUUUAAAAACCCAAAAUUAUAAAUAUGGUUAGAAAUCUAUCAAAAAAAUUAUCAUAGAUUUCCAAUGAAAAUUUUAAAAAAACCAAAAAUUAUAAAUAUCGUCAGAAAAUGUUUAUAAAUCAAUAAAUCAUCAAAAUUUCAUCAGAAAUUGUCAGAAAUUCCAUCAAAAUUAGCCUUGUUUUCUUGAUGGUACCAUAGAUAGCAAUAUUCUAAAGCUUCCACAUGUUUCCUUUUUAAUUCUAGAAGUUUUAUCUUGUAGCGAUCGAACUCAAAUCAACUGAGUAUAAUUCAUGUUACCCGUUUACUUUAAAAUGAUUGCUAAAAGUUGAAUUUAAUUUGUUGUGUGUUUUUGAAAGCCAAAACCAGACAAUAUGACAAUUUAAUAUAUUGUGUCUGUAGUAAACUUAAAACAAUCAAACAAUUUCACAUUAUAGAAAAAAAGGGAAAAACAAUCGGACUGUAUUAAAAUCAUAAUACCCUAAAUGCUACUCCAAGUCAUGUAAUAAUUUCAUAUACCAAGGAUGAUAAUAUAAUCAGAUAUUUGUAUUGUAAUAUGGCAAUUCAGUGAAAGAGUCAUGUAAUAAGGGGUAAAAAGGGGAAUAGAUAUUGAAGACUGGUUUGUGCCUAAUCUCUCUCUCUCCAUCUGAUCAUCAAUCCUUUAAAUCACCAUCAAAGAAAUUCCAAAUUUCUCGGAUUUUAUUUCUAAUUGUUUUUCUUACAAUCCCUAAAACCCUAGCCCUCUUUCACGCCACCUACUAACUAAGCUCAAGUUCAAGCUCCUCUGUUUCUGUAAGUCUCAAAUUCUCAUACACUAAAGUUUCGAUUCUUCAUGAAGAAAAAACGAAGAAAAAAAACUUAUCUUUACAAGAUAAAAGAACUUUAAUUUUGAGGUUCUUGCAAUCUUGAUUCGAAAAAACCCAAUUUUAGAUCUAUGAUUUUGAUUUCCUGAUGAGAGUUUCUAAACCAGGAAAGCCAAAUUCUUUUUAGAAAUAAGCCUAUUUGUUCCUAAUUCGUUUCAUACAAUCAAGCAAGAGCUUGACACCUGUUUCGAUCUGCAUAGAAUCCAGAACACAGCAAUAAUGAUUCCUUUAGAUUUUUAAAUUUAUUAAUUUUCUUGUUGGUGACUAAGAAACAACUAAAUAUUUAUUAUUAUCAUCUCUCUUUUCAUAACUAGAAACACCAAUCUUUAUAUAGAGUGCUAAAUAAACCAUGAAACUCGAUUUCUGUAUUUUUUGUCUUCUUAUCUUUAAAGUCUCCAGUGAUAAUCGCUUCAGCCGAAAGCUGCUGAUUGGUAUCAACUGAGUAGCUUAAUUAUUCAUCGUAGCUUCUGAUUCUUGUAGCUGCUCUUUGAUUUUCUCACUUUAAUUAUCUUUGGCAUCAGACUUAUUAAGAACUUUAACCCCAUUUUUCUAAAAUCAAAAUCAUCUUUUGUUUUGUUUUUUUAUCUGUCAGAUCUAAAAGAGUAGAGCAUAAAUUCGAUUCAGAAUAACUGAUAUCUUAAAUAUGUAUAUAUAUGAAAGUCAUCUGUAGAAAAGUAGAUAAGGAUGUAACAUAUACACAUAUAUGCUUAUAUAUAUCUAGAGAUUUGUUCUUAUGAGAUUGUUUCUUUGUUUUUGUUUCAUAUUUUUAUUGCAGGCUGCUUGUGGCUGAAAUUGUUUCAGACAGUGCUUUUGAUGACUCUGAAACAGCUGCAGACAAGCUUAAACGAAGCUGUAUCUACUGACUUUGAUGGUGAAAUAUCAAAAACCCUAAAUUAAAAAAAUAGAAUAAACACAACCUUUUUAAUUUUAUUUUUUCUUGUCUUUUGGUUUUUCCUCUGAGGGUUUUCAUCAUCAAUGCUUUCGAAGUACAGUGGGUGAACCAAAAAAAAAGAGAGUUAAACCCCACUUUUUUUUCCACUUCUUCUUCUUUAAGUCCCACAGAAAAAAAACCCUAAAGUUUAGAUUUUUAAAUUUGGGGGUAAACAAAAAAAAGCCCUAAUUUUUAUAUGGGGUUUGUAUUUUGAAAAGCUUAGGCAUGAGAUUGUUGGUGAGAUGUUUCCGAAAAUCGGAGAUGAUGAAAUGAUUGGAGAUCUGAUGAAGAAUAACAAUGGAGACGUCGUGGAUAACAACAACAACAACCGGUUAAGCCGGUGGCACCACAACUCUUCCCGGAUAAUUAGGGUUUCGAGAGCUUCCGGUGGCAAAGAUCGACACAGCAAAGUCUGGACUUCGAAAGGCCCACGUGACCGGCGUGUCCGGUUAUCAGUCUCCACCGCUCUUCAAUUUUACGACCUUCAAGACCGGUUAGGUUACGAUCAGCCCAGCAAAGCCGUGGAAUGGCUUAUCAAAGCGGCGGAAGAUUCAAUCUCCGAGCUUCCUUCGCUCAACAACACGAAUUUCCCGAUAACCGACGACGAGAAUCAGAACCAGACACUAACCGGUGCUGCGGCUAAUUCCUUGUCUAAAUCGGCUUGUAGUAGCAAUUCGGACACGAGCAAGAACUCUUCUGGGUUGUCUUUAUCGAGAUCGGAGCUCAGGGAUAAAGCUAGAGAGAGAGCUAGAGAGAGAACAGCGAAAGAGACCAAGGAGAGAGACCAUAAUACCAACAGUCACACUACCUCCUUUACCGAUCUGUUAAAUUCCGGUUCAGAUCCGGUUAACACAAACCGGCAAUGGAUGGCUCCUUCUUCAUCGCCUGCUCCUGCUCAAAUGGAGUAUUUCAGCUCGGGUUUAAUUCUCGGGUCGGGUCAAACCCAUUUCCCGAUUCAAACAAAUUCUCACCCUUUCUCAUCAAUCUCCGAUCAUCAUCAUCAUCAUCAUCCUCAUCAAGAGUUUUCCUUCGUUCCCGACCAUCUAAUUUCCCCGGCAGGAUCCAACGGCGGUGGAGCGUUCAAUCUCGACUUCAACAUGUCGACAUCCUCCGGCGCCGGAACCGCCGUGGCCUCCGCCGGGUUCAGUGGUUUCAACAGGGGGACCCUUCAGUCCAAUUCAACAAAUCAUCAUCAUCAUCAUAAUCAGUCAUUUCUCGCUAAUCUACAGAGGUUUCCAUCAUCAGAAGGUGGAGGUCCACAGUUCUUGUUCGGUGCACUGCCUGCAGAGAAUCACCACCCACACAACCACAAUCACCAGUUUCAGCUUUACUAUGAAAAUGGAUCCAGAAACUCAGACCAAAAGGGCAAAGGCAAGAACUGAUGAUAUUUACCAUUUGCAUCUUUUGUUAAGUUUCUUUAUUUAUUUUUGCUUUAUUCAUCCAAAAUGUCAAUCUUCUUCUUCUUCUUUUAUCUUCUGAUCAUCAUCCUUAAUGUGUGUUAAAUUUGUUUACUUUUUUUUUUUCGAGUUUCUAAUUUGGAAAUCUUUUCGAAGGGUUUGUAAUGUUGUAUUCUGAUAAGAAAAUAUCAUUUUGUUUGUGACUUCAUAAUUCAAUUUUUAGCUUAUACUAUAUUUUGGGUUUUAUUGUUUUUAGCGUAAAGUAAAUUUUUUUUAGUUAAUUGUUAUAGUACGAAGAUACUAUUUCUUGGUAUUCAUGAACAAGUAUAGGUCAAGGUAAUAGGGUGAUCCUUUUAAGGAUACUAGAUUGAAUCAAAUCAAAUAUCAGAAGAAAAUAUACAGAAAUUAAAGUGAGGAGACAGGCAACUUAAAACAUAAAUGGAGAUAUACACAUUUAUAGGAGAAAUAAAUAAUUGUGAUAGUAGAUAAUUGAAACUGGAAAAUUUAGGGGUAAUGCCCAUUAUGUAUUGAAGAGAGUGAAACUAAAAUGAUUUGUCUCCUGUUGUGCUCUCUGUUUGGUUCCCUUCUUCCUUAGCAUCUCUCAUCACUUUCUUUCAGUCUCUCUCUAUAUGUAAUGUUUUACAUCUAUUUAUCUAUAUAUAAUAUAUGAUAUAUCUUCCCCAUUUGACAGCUGUUGUCUUCUACAAUGGCUAUUUCCAAAUUUUCAUAAUUUUUGUUAUGAUCUGUCUUUAUUAUUUUAAGUUUUUAACUUUUUCUUUCAUGGGCUACUUGAUCUUCUGCACCCACAUGGCUAACCCAUCUUUUAGGGUACUAGACAAAGUAUUAUUAAAUUCAUUCUUUUAGUUGUUUAUAUAUUUUAGAAAGCUUUCAACUUUUGUGUGGUUUUGGGAUUUAGAGUCAAGUUGUUUUACUUGUGUUUCAUGUGUUUUGAGGCUUUAUCACGUUUAUUGGAAAUAAGAGGGUUCAUUAAAGUAAUUUUUCCAAAGAGAGAAAGACUAUAAAAUUAUUAUCUGCAGAACUUUUCUUUGAAAGAACCGUUACAGUGGCCUAAAAACAUUUAAAAAAAUUAUAGAGAUAAAUAAAUAUUUGUUUUCUUUUCUUCCACAACCAAUUUAUUCAAUAAUCAAUACAGUAAAUAGAUUUUUCAAUAAGUGAUUGAAAAAUUUACGCACCACUGCAACUGACAAAAGUUUGCUGAUAAAUAAUCCCUUUAGUACUACUAUAGGAUUAUAAUGGUUUGUGAAGUACUAUAGAAUUACAAUGGUUUGUGUAUACGAUUUUGCUGCUUGCGUAAAUAUUUCGUGGUAUUUCCAAGUUCCAAUGUUGGAUAUCGUCUCUGUGACUCUGUUCAUCUUUAACGCACACUUUUCGAAUUAAUUACUCUACUCUGCGACUUCUGAAUGACAAGAGAGUCAAAGGGUCCAUAUUAUUUAUUAUAUUGAGUUUUUAUCACGUUUACAAUGACUACAAGAUAGAAACAAAAAUUAGCGUUUACAUGGUCCAUUUUACAAACAAAAAUGAUAGAACAAAAAAUAGUAUUUCUUAAAGACCUCUCUAAAAUUUGCGUUUUCUAGGUUCUCUAGUUGGAGUCUCGUUUAGGAAGAUCGUCGAGUUUUUCAAAAUGAAUCACACGCCGAUCCCAAACCGAGGGAAACUACAUAUAACAAAAGGUACUGGAACUUUCUCAUUAGAAAAAGGUCCACUUCUUUUUUUCUUGUCAUUGUAAGGAAAGUGAUAAAAUGAUCGUUUACGGUCAAUGACCUUGUUGAUAAUUGUUAUCAAAAUUCGAUUUUUACUAGACAAAAUUUCUUUUCCUUACAUGUUACAUAGUUCUAUGGAAUUUAUUAAUUUAAAUUGUAUUCUGGUCAAAAGUUUCAGUAUUAUACAUAUAAAAAACGAUAUGAUAUAUCGAUAAGAAUUUCUCUAUAUAUGUAUAAUUUCGCCAUAGGAUUAGAACUUCGAAAUUGGUGUUAGACUGUAGUCACUAGUCACUCUAUACACUGGAAAUUUAAAACCUUGGCCCAUCUAAGCGAUCUAUUCUUUUGUUUUUCAUAGAACCGAUAUUUUUUAAACACAGUUUUUCUUUGUAGUUCCCGUAAGAAAGGCCCAAUAAAAAAGCCCCUUCUGAUUUUUAUAGACCAGUUUGAGUUUUCUUACACGAGUUUUGUUUCCUGACGAUUUCCUCAUCUUUUGGUGAUUGCUAAUUACAAGUUGUUGUAUGCAAUUCUCUUAUAAUUAGAGUUUCUUUAGACGAAGUUUAGACUAUAAGGCUAAUAAAAGGGUGGAAAAUAAGAAUCUCAUUAAGUUUUACACUUUCGAUUAAUUACUACGAUAAUCGAAAUCUUAUACAUGCUUGUAGUAUUUUAGCUUUUUCUUCGAUAAUUGCUAAUAGAAUCGUAAAAGGCCAAUUAAAAUAGUAGAACUUUAAAAUGAGAAAUAUAGCUUUGUUUCAAAGUUUGUGAAAAUCCAUGAUAUUUUCAAUCAAAAUUGGCAACUUUAUUUAAGUUUUAUUAGACUUUUUCAAAGUGUUAUUAGAAAAUAGUGUACUAUACAUGUGAUUUAGUUCCUAUACAGUAUUAGCGUGUAUGCUUGUAGAUGAUAAACGUUAAACGAGAAGACUAAAAAAAGUAGUUUCGUCAUUUGACUGCUAAAAAAAACAAUAAUAAAACUUAAAAUGCUAAAAAAAACAAAAAAAUACUUAUAUAAAACGGCAUUUUUAGCAAUUUUUCUAUUUAAACUUGAUGUCAGACAUUUGCAGAGCGGUGUACUGAGUCCUAACCAGAUUUGGAAUUUAAGUUAAGCAGAUAUACAUGAAGUCAUGAAAAGUAGAGAGGUCAAUUUCUUCUACAUCAAUGUAUAAUAUAUUAUCUAAUACUUUACUUUUAGGAGGAAAAAAGCCUUAAUGUUCGGAAAGCCCUUAAUCAUCUAUUUUUUUUAUUUCUUUCUCUACAAGCCUUUAAGUAUCCAUUAUUAUGUCUCUUUUCGUUUGUUUUAUUUACAGCACAAUGAGAAGUCCGUGAUUUUGUUUUGUUUCAAAAAUAAAGUCCCUUUGAGUUUUGAUAGAGCUUUAUAUUAUUAACGUCAACUAAGUUUAUACAUGAUUAGUAAAAACUAGUUAAUUUAUCUUUCUUUAUUACAACUUAGAUUAAAGUUAAAGCAAAGAAAAUUAGAUGAAUCGUUUGCAACUAUAAUUGGGUGUUUUGUUUGAGAGUUAAGCAAUGCCUAACGCUAAGCUUAAGCUAUGCUUAAGUCAUAAAAUGUCACCAUAAAGUGAAGACGAGAAAAGUAAGUUUGGUUAGAGACAUGUUCUUAGUGAAAAAUAAAUUUAAAGAUUUGAUAACCGGCCAUGACUUCAUUCGUCACCUGGAUCAUUUGAUUACUUUGAUUUGAAGGGACUAUAUUUACAAUACAAGAGGAUAUCAUAUCAAUUGAAGCAAUAAUUUUUUUUAUAGGAAAAUACAUAAAAGUAAAUUAUUGCAAAGUAAAACUACUUCUUUUUUAUUAGAAAGAUUAACUUUAAUAGAAAAACGGAGAAUAACAUUUUAAUAUAAUUAAUAUUUUCUUGUAACAUUUUUUGUGUGAACGUUUUUGAUAAAUAGUGUUUUCACAAGAUAUUAUUACGAAAAUUAUAUCUAUUAAAACUAAAGAAACACUAUUGAGACACACAUUUUUUCUUUAUUCAAAUUGUGACAUAUAUACUACAUUUUUAUCACUUAACUGUCCACUAAAAUUUGCAUAUGUAAUUACGAUUUUGUUGUCAAAAGUUGGCUUCCAUUAAAGGGUACAAUAAUUUCGUCCCAAUCACAACUUUUUGCCUGCCAGAAAGUAAAACAAGUGGGCUCUUUCUUGUGGAAGUAUCCAAUAUUCAAUCAGAACCAAGAUACAUAUAUACUUCAUAGAAUCAUAUUAUAUGAUAAUGCAUAUGUAAUCAAUGUGAAGCGAUUUCUCAAUAUUAUCGAAUUGUUUUAAGCUGGCUAUAUGAUAAGUAGCUUUUAAAAAUUUUAAUCACACAUUGCUAUAAGUGAUACAAAUAAUCAAUUUUAUUAAGACCGAAUGCGGAUCCAAUGGUUUGAAGAUUGAAUAUGACUCAUGAUACAGGCUUGAAAUUAUUUUUAAUGUCUUUCAAACACUGUUUUAAUUGGAGAUUUUUGUCUAUGAAAUGUACCUUUUCUUUAACAUCGUAUAUGAAAUAUACAAUCAAGUAACUCAUUUGCUGUUUAUGAGCUCGUGGAAUCAAUGUGUAAGUUUUUUAUUUUUAUUUUUUCAAUGUGUCAUAACACAAACCAGAGUGUUGAUUUGAUAUUUGCCUAUAUAUCAGACGUUUUGUUAUUCCCAGAGCUUCUUCCAUACAAUACCUUAGUCCUGGUUUCUGAUCAAAAAGUUCAUCCAUUUCCACCACUUCACAUAAAGAAGGAAACAAUGCAAAUUAUAUCUGUCCGAACCUAAAACCCUAAGCUUGAGACACAUAUCGAGCUGCUGCGUACCGAGUAUAAUCUUACAUUCCCAAAGCUAGACUUGUCAAUUUAACAAGAGUAGACCAAAAGAUAUUAAUGAAGUGAGCAGCAUUACUUCUUGUCUUCCGCUUUCCUCAGCAUAAAAAACAACGAAACGAAGAUACAAAAGGUAAGUAAAUUCAAUCCACAGAAAAUAAUGCUCCAAAAAAUGUCAAAUGUUUUGGUCUUUUGGACACUGAUUAACUCUUUAGACCAUCCAUAAAAACUAAAUUUCAUAUAUGCUGUUUCCAAAGUCUUCUACUUUUCAGAUUCAAAUGAGAAAGUAAAAAUGUUCCAACACAGACCUUGACACUAGGAGCCCCUUGGUGAAGCUCCUCAUCAGAGAUGAUCACAGGCCAUAACGAUAGUUGGGCGGGCUUUAUGGAAUAAGAUUGGGUAUAUUGGAUUAAAGUUGGUUUCCAGAUAUUUAAACGUGUUAGUGAUUUUAAUAUUGUUUAUGCAUUCAGGUAGUGUUGAAAAACUAACUCACACAGUCUUUAAUAUUCAUCACAUACGUUCUUUUGAAUUUUUUGAUGUAACCACCUUUUUUUUUUCAAAAACAAAUUGUCGAUUUUAGGGUAAUUGUCGUCGGAAUUCCGUUUUUCAAAAACAUACGUUUUGAUGUAACCUUCGAAGGUUAUUUAGAGAUUGGCAAAAAGGUAUUAAAACAAGAUGACACCUAAACAUAUAAUAUAUAUGUUUGACAUAACAUUAUCUACAUAUAUAUAUAUAUAUAUAUAUAUAUAAUAUUGAUAAAAUCUUUUCAACUUUGUGAAUAUACUCAUAAGUCGUAAUAUUAACUCUUUGGUUGGUGGCCUAAACAGAUGUCUUUCGUCAUUGUGAAGAACAGUAAACAAAUUUGGAUUCUAGCUACUCUAGUUUAAUUCAAGAUAAUAAUAAUGUUGAAAAUUAUCAAUAAAUUAAUUUGGUCUAGCAUUGUAAUAUGGCGAAGGAAAUUAUCAUAUUAUUUAAUUGAGAAUUCUAUCAGAUAUAGUAAAAUACUAACUCUACAUGACAGAAGAGAUUGACUUUCUGCCAUUUUUUCUUCUUUCUUUUUUACAGAAAAAAAAAAUGUAACAAGAAUCUUCAUUUUACACACACGAACACAUGACUACAAGUCGAUGACAUAAGUUACAACUUAGAAAUUCCAAAAGCAAUCCAAUUCUACCGUACCGGCCAAACCGGAGGGAUCAAUACCGGGAACUUGACUUUCUUGACCGUUAAGCAAUAGCUUCUUUAGCGAAUAGUUGUCUUGUAGAAACAUAAGAUCAUUGCAAACCGGAGAACCAGAACCGUCUUUGGACUCUUGAAUGAGUCUUUUGUCUUCGGUUUCUUGGUCGGAGAAGCAGGUCACGUGAGUCGACGAACCAGGGAAGGAGUCUCGCUGAGAACAAUCCAUCAGCGAAGGUAAAUCGAUCGGUUCGAUUCGGUUAAUGUGUGAAUCAAGCAUCAUUAAACCGGAGAAGUCAACCUUAGUACCAUCAGCACGUUUUUGAUAAAUACGACAAAUAACCCACUCGUUCUACAUUCACAAACAGAAAAACAAUUUCAUGUGAACCAGAAAUAUGAGGAAAAAAAUACACAAAAAUACUAAUAUUACCUUAGCUAUUUGGGAAAGAUUUUGGAUAGAAUGUUUGCCGUCUAAUCGAUAUUCGUGCAUAACCCAAUCGCUUUUUACUCCUUUAGGAGCUCUUCCUUUGUAGAAGACUAGAGUUUUCUUCAUACCCACAAGUGAUUUACCCUUGAAAAUUUCUUUAUCUUUACCUGUGGCUUUCCAAUAACCGGUUUCAGUUGCCCGGUUUGUCCUUAAACCGGUUGGAUAUUUCCGGUCUCUCACACAGAAGAAAUACCAUUCUUUCUCCCCCAUCUUAGCCUUCCCUAUCCCACCAAAACCAUCCCAAUAAAAAUGGUGACCUUAAUUAAUAAUGACAAGGGCCAAAAUUUAAUAAAAAAAGAGGACCGAUACUAAAUGCAUGCAGUCUCAAACUGUUUGUAGGUUUUGUGCAAUUUUUACUAAACAUAUAUGAGAUGUAAACAUAAGAAGUCCCAAUUUUUAUUUUCUUAUAUUAAAAAUAACUUUUGAAUCUGGAAAGGUUGUGAAACUUACUUGGUAUGUCCCAAGGCUCGACCUUGUUGAGAUCAACUACACCAAUGGCAGUGGCAGAGAAGAAAGUGUUGGAAACUUUUGGUUUGAGGUAGUGAGUUAUGAGUUCUUCAUCAGUAGGGUGAAAUCUGAAUCCAGGUGGUACAUCAAUUUGUUUUCCAUCUUCUACUAUUUCACCUACUACAUAUUGAUUCCGUGCUUCGCGCGGGCUUCGCGCAGGCUUCGCGCGGGCUUAUAUGUUGAUAUUAAAUCUGAAAAAAGAAAUAUGAAGUAAUAACUAUUAUUACAAACUGUUAAAUAUCUAAUUUAUCAUAUUUGUCUUUUUUCUUAAUUUUUUUCUUUUCCUUUAUUUUCAUAUUUUUAUAGUUUAUUAUCUUCAUCUUUUGUUAUUUUUUCUUAUUUUUAAUUCAUAGUCUUCGUAUUUUCCAAAAUUUAUCUUCAUCGGUUUCGUGUUUUUCUUCUUCUUGUUAUUUUUUUUUCUUUAUCGUCUUUGAUUUCUUCUUCUUCUUAUUUUUCUUUUAGUUUUUCUUUAUCUUUUUUUUCAGUUUUUUUUAUUUUUCUUAAUUUUUUUUUCAUCUCUUAUUUUUAUUUAUCGAGUGUGUGUAUUCUUCUUCUUUUACUUCUUUUUUAGUUACUUCAUCUUCAUAUAUGUCUUUUUUUAAUAUAUUUUCCAUUUUCUUCUUCUUCUUCUUCCUAUUUUUUUUUUUUUCAUCAUCAUCUUAAUUUUUUUAUUUCCGUUUUCUCUAAUCUUCUUUUUUUCAGUUUUUAACAAUAUCUCGUUUUUACUUAAAAAUAUAUCUAUAUAUAUAUAUUAGUCCAGUUUAUAUCAAUUAAAAUUUAUUCUAUUCAUUAAUCUGUAUAAUAUUCUAAAUUUAUGUUAGAUUUUACUGAUAUAAAUUUUAAAUAUAAUAAUAAAUAUAAUUAUUGUUUUAAUAAAUAAACAUUUAAAAUAGACUGUUUUUAGUGAUGCUGAUGUGGACACUUUAAAAGGAAAGAAAACUCUCCUAUUAUAUAAUAGAUUCUUAAUGCAUCAUAAUCCAUUUUAUCCUAAUGGGGUUUUUCAGAAACACUAAUUUUAAAAAAAAAUAUUUUUGGAGAUAAAGAAAAUUAAGGGUUUUUGAAGGGAGAAAGAGAGAUGAAUGUUGGGGUUUUUAAGAGAGAAGAGAAAAGGGUUUGAGCAACGAAGCUCCUCUCUAUAUACUAGUUUUUCAUUAGUGAAAUAAUAAGAAGAACAAAAAAUAUAUUAUUAUUUUUUAAUGUUGACCAAUAAUUGUUUAAGUUUUCGCAUCAAAAUAUUCUUUCGAAAAAUUAUAUAGUUGUACUGAAAUUCAAGAUUUCACCUACUAUAAAGAUCAAAGAAAAUUUUAUAACAAGGGUUUUAGAUUUAAAUCUCGUACAACGUUCAAUUCAUAUUGUAAAUCUGUAAAUGGUGUGGACACAUAUUAUGAUUAGUUUUCUUAGAAGGAUAGAGAAAGAAGAAGAUGCGUAGAUUGUUAGGCAACUUAAGAUGUACAAUUUUCUAAAAUCUUUUCCAUUUAAAAAAAAAAACUUUCUAUUUCAAGAACUUUAAUAUUUCCAAGUUUCAAUUUGACCAGGAACACUCCACCUGUGGCUCCCAGUCCAUUUUUGGUUAAUGUGAUAAGAACAAUCUUAUUACAUUAUAUCGUGAUGUUUUUGUCUAUUCUUUAACUAAUUAUUAGUCCUUGGAAAGAAUUUCAGUAACACUAUGAUUAUUGAUUUACAAACGACUUAUAAUUGGAUGUGAUUUAGUAACAAUAUGUAGGGUGAAGGUUAAUAUGUAUAGUAUAUAAAGUAAUUUGAUUCGAAUGGUUAAAGAUAAUUGUAUUACGGUACGGUCGCUAUAAGAAAAAAAUGGUCCCAUGGUUAGAUAUUAUUUGUUUUAUUUGCUUAGCAAAUGUUAUCCAUCUGACGAAAGGAGUGCAUGCAUGAACCUUGAAUUUUUCUUUUAAUACUAAAGCAACGGUUUCUCUUGUCCUAUUUCAUUGUCUACAGUUAUAAGGAAUUAUAAUAUUUAUAUCUAAAUUUCUGUUUUAAAGUUCAAUGAAAAAUUGGAUAGAAAAACGAUUUCCAUGUGAAGAUUAGAAAUGAUGAUGAAUGGAUGAGGAUGGUGAUGAUGAAAAUAUGUUAGAAUGUCAAGACAUUUUGAACAAUCUUAACCAUAUCAUAUGUGAAUUAUUUGCUUUUUUUUUUUAUGAUCGAAUCACCCGUUUGCGCAUACGAGGUUGUCAUUUGUCACUUCUAGAACAUGUGCUCUUUAUUUUUCUCUUGCCAAAAUUCUCCUUAUUUUAAUUAUAGACUUUUUAUAUAUAUAAAUCCUUAUGUGAAUAAAUGUAUUGAUUUUUCACAAAAGAGUUUACAUCAUUGCUGAAAUUCUCAAUGAUAGUGCGAGAUUUCAAUCUUGCUAAAAAGAAGAAUUUGUCAAAUAAAUUGUUCUAUUUUUGUUUUUCGAAUGGUUAAAUUUCUAUCAUAAUUUUUAUAAAACUCUAAAACUUCCACUUUCAACUGAAUUUAGCCAUAGUUGCAAGCCUUGUUGUAUUGCAUCACACGGAGUCGCAUAAAUGGGACGAGACUUUUUUAUUGUUUUACUGAAAUCAACGGAGCCACCGAAAUUAUGACUCCAAGAAUUUUUGAUUAAUUAAGAAUUGAGAAAGAAUUUUAUAUUUUUGGUCACAAUCACCAACAUCUCAGAUCACUUUCUAGAUCAUUUGAAAAAAUCUGUAGCUAAAAAAAUGCAAUUAACGAGAAAAUCAGAUCGAUUUCAGAGCUUUGGAAGCAUGAUUUUUUUUUUCUUCUCUCAACUAGGAUAUUUGAUAUCUAGCAUGACAUUUUUUGCUAACCUAUUUCAAAGAUUAAAUUGUCAUCAAAAUAGGUUUCAUUCCACGUACCUAUAGUGAAACUGUAUUACUUGUUUAUAUUUACCAAUAUAUAUCUCUUUAACUUAACAAAAUAACCUAAAAUUAAAUUAUAAAUUAUGAUGUCAACUAUUCGUCAACUAAAUGUUAAAAAAAAAAAAACUAUUCGUCAACUAUAUUGGCAUAUGUUGGAUUUGGGAUCUGGGUUGAUCUGAUGCCGAAACAAUGGGUUCGGCGAAGAAAGAAAGAUAAAAAGAUAAAAAGACAGAUGCGACACUUACAUUAGAUUGCCACUCUUUUUGUUUGUGGUUUUUUUUUACGGACCUAAUUUCCCACGAUAUUACCUUGGUGUUGUAACCAGUAAUAAAAAAAAAAAUACUUACAUUGCUCAAUUUUAUUUUAUUUAUUUAAACAACUUGGGAGAAGUAUAUAUAAAGAGAAGGAGAAGCAACUGUACCUACAAAUAAUAUUCACAUGCUAAUGAAAGAAAAGGGCAGCGAGGAAGAUUUUUAUAAGAUAGAAACUUGCUCUUAAACGAUUUGCUAUGCGAGCUGAAAAUUAAAAAAAUAAAACAGCCAGCGAAUGCGGUUUCUUUCUGGUGACCAAGCAGCUGGAUUCGAAGCUGAGGAGAUCAUAGAUCUUGACCAACAACAGAGAGCAUCGAGUCAUAAGUCUCUAUAAGCUGGGAAUUGACAAAACUGAUCUUUAUGCAUUCUAUUCUCUCUUUUCAAAACCUGGUUUAGCCUUUUGGGAUUCACCUAUCAAACAAGGAAAGAGCAGAUUAUAAGGUUGUGUGUCCUCUAUGAUGAAACUUGUCCAAAACAUAAAUUUCCAAUCUUUUCUUUUGAGAACAAAUAAAUUUCCAAUCUUUAAUGUCACGUUAUGAUGAAUGCUUAAUAAAGGUUUCAUUUUUCGCCCAAAUUAAUCAUCAACUACAACAGCCACAUACUCUGAUUGAUGUUGAUAAGCUGAGACCAAUUCAGUGCCAAUAUUUAGAUAUUCAUUCACACAAUUGAAACUCAAAAUUAGUCAGAAACAGAGCAGCAAUCAUACCUCAAGAUCAAAAGUCCGAAAUCUUUGCAGCUUAGAAGGAAUUCAUUUCAAGACAGUAAGUCCUUCUCUUGACCAGCAUCUUUGCAGCUAUCCCAUAAGGCUCAUCGAACGCAGAAGACACCCACGAAACAUCACACACCUCUUUCUUCGACUCGCUGGGUCUUAUCGCCACCAAGGUCGCUCCUUUCAACACUGUCCCGUCUGGCAAUUCCAAGGUAGGAGCGUACCAUAGUCUCAUGUUCAGAGCCGGCACAAGUGUCCUCUUAGAAGCCGAAGAAGCUGACAAUGGUUUCACCCUCAGCUCCUCUAAUUGAUCUCUGUUCAUACAAAGCACUCCUUGCCCAUCUGUAUCCGUAAGCACCAAACUGUCGAGCGUCUUGUGCUCGGAGAUGAUUGGCUGCAGCAAGUAGUGUCUCGCGGACGCAGCGAUCAAAGAGCUAAUCGUCCAUACAACACGAAGCUUAAGCCCUCCGUUUGUGUAGAACGAUUCCGGUAUACUCCCGUUGUCUUCCGCCGCCGCCGUCGCCGUUACGGUGGUGUUGUUGCUGGUAAGGUCAACGGGAGGUUGAGAGUUCGAAUUCGCGGCGUGGAUCGCAGAGGAAGCUCCGAGAAUGACGCAAUUCUCGAGUGUGGAGCCGAAUUCAGCUCUCCACUUCAACAAAACUCCGUCGUCUAUCCCCAAUUCGCCGCUGGGAAGCUCGAUGCGGAGGAACCGAAUCUCGUCGAAGUUUUUGAGAACCUGCGUAGGGGAAUGGUGAGUGACGCCGCCAUGUUCGAUCUCUCCGUCUUCUCCUCCACUGAUAAGCAAAGAAGAAGACGACGAAGAAGAAGAAGAAGACGCGGAAGAAGAAGCAGAAGAUGAACGCUUGGAGCCGAGUAACUGACCAAGGGCUUGUAACGGCUUGAAAAUGCCGCCGAAAACGAGACGGAAAAUCGCCGAGAACGGACCGGAGACGGCGGAUCGAGGCUUAUCGGGAGAGAGAGAGGAGGAAUCGUCGUCGGAGAUGACGCAAUCGACGCGGACGACGACAUUCUCGACCUGGGGAACGAGGGAAUGGAACCUCUUGGAGACGACGCAGCAUCGACCAAGGGCUUUGACAUCGCCGAUUUUGUUGAAGACGAGGAGGAGGAUGGAAUCGGGGAGGUGGUCGAAGUGGUCGAUUUCUAGGGUUUGAGGCUCGGGAUGGAUCCGAGAGAGCGGAUCUGAACGGAGAAUUAUGGCCAUUGGAGGACGAUUUUGGGAUGGAGAAAGAGGAAUUUUUGUGGAGGAAGUUUUUGAGGAAGAAUCAGAUCUUUGAGAGAAGAUAACGCAUGAAGAGAGGUUUGUGGAGGGAGAGAGAAAGAGGAAAGGAAUCCAUGGAGCGAGAGGAUAUAAAUGGAAGGAGCAAAAUUUUAGAUCCACGGAGUUUUUUUUUUUUUUUUCCUUUUUGUUUUUGAGAGAAUUUAUUUGUACAAUGACCAUAUUUUGGUCUAAAAUGAAAGUAGACGACACCAAUAUUAUAAAGAGUUAAUAACCAUUACUUUUUACUAUUUAGUAAACUGUCCUUUUUUUUCUUUAUUGUCAUUAGAUUACUCUUAAUCUAAAUCUAUUAUAUGAAUUUAUGUUCUCUAAUCUCUUCACACGGUGCAGACACACUUAGAGAUCAUAAAGUCAUUGAUUUUAUAACAUGAUUGGGAAACUUCAUUAUAGUCGUUAAUGUCUGAAUUCAAAUAUAGAUUAGUUGAUUUUAGGGACGGUGUAAACAUUCAACAUAGACAAAUGCAAACUCGUAAAAAAAUGUUUUCAGGUGAAGAAACAAUGUUUAGUGUAAAUUAGCAAACUAAGCCAAAUGUGUGAUUAAUUUACUUAUUGCGGUUGAUGUGAAAGAUAUGAAUAUUGUCUUGACAUCUUUUUUUUCUUUUUUUUUGUCGUUAUUGUUUUGACAUCUACAGCUUAAUUGCACAUAUAUAAUUUUCGUUUGAAUCUACUGUAUAUACCGAUAAUACUAACACAAAUCACUAUAUGUAUUUGAAUUUUAGUCAAAUGAUAUAAAUCAGUUGUAAUCUUUUAAGUUGAAAGUUUUUUUUUCCGAAUGGUAAUCUCUCAAUUUACAUGGUCAUACAAUAUAAACUCUUAGACGAUAAUUUUCAAAUGGUAAUCUGAAGUUCUGAACACACUUAUCAUAGUCACCAUCCACUGUCUGAUUGAACCUCAUACAUAUUUGAAAACAAAAUUUGUUGUAAUACUGUAUUUUAGUAUUUUUUUUUUCCAGUAAUAUGUAUGUAUUAUGUCAAUUUGAAUCUGGAUGGUAUCACAAGUUACAACGACUGAUGCAAAUCAGUAAACUUCAUAUAUUUGGUUAUUAUAUUAUGUAUUUAGUUGUAUAUAAUAACACAAAUAAUUGUGAUGCUUCGUGGGUGUGUUGAAUAAUCAAAUAUGGAUAGAUGAGAAGAUACAGUCGUAUAGCUAUUUUAUACAAGAUUAUUCAUGGCAUGAUAUGGAGUUGUAUUAUUAUAAGAUAGACAAUAAACGAUUUUCGACUUAGCUGUACCACAUGAUAAGUCGUUAGGUCAUUUGUUGAUGAAAUGGAUUUGCCUAAUGCUCCAGUCUACUCGUAGGCCAAUUCUUCUUUUUUCUUUUCUGUAAUUUCGAUAAUUCAAUUUAAUGGGUCCACGAUCAAAGAUUUAUAUUAGGAGAAUCGUGUUUCGUCUGUAAUGAACAAAAGAAUCGAGUGCUUUUGUCUAUAAUGUUUUACAGGUAUGAGCACAAAAGACAAUAGAUGUAUCUCAAAACUUCAAAGACUUUCUAUUGGUUUAUAUAAUAAUAUUUACUAACCCUUAAAUAUUUUAGUUUUUUCCUGUAAAUAAUUCAUAAUUCUCAGUUUACCAACUAUAUCUCUCAAAUUAAACAACAUUCAAAAGUUUCUAAAAUUUCUCCCAUAUCAUUGGUUUACAAGUCUGUUUUUAAUGAAAAGAUAUUUGCAUACAAAAGAAAAUAUGAGAAUGGGUAUAGGAACCAAGUUUUUGCCUGACACAUACUUGGUACGACUUCUUGUUAGUGUUACUGUAACCAGCUUCAAUAUAAUUAAUACUACAAGUUGAGAAUCCUGAGAUGAUGAUAUUUAUAUAUGAUUGGAAAAAAAUAGAAAGAAAGUAAAGAUAUGAAAAAGAUACAUUAAGACAAGUCAUGUGAUGUGUUGAAUCUGAAAUAGCACAGUACAGAGCAUUGAUUUAGAUCUGAAUCAAUACGGGGAAGAGACUUAGCAGAGAAGUAAGUAACAAAAGCCGCAGAUAUUGGUGUCACAUGCACGUCGUGUCAUGUGUCCAUUCUUGCUUUACACGCCCCGCCGUUUUCACUUUGAUCAACAACGCCGCAUUGUUCCGUCCGUACAAGUUCAUCGACGUACAUUUUUUUUUUUUUUUGGUCGAAAACAUUUUUUUAUAUUUUUUUAUUUUUAUUUUUAUCUUAUUGUAACUCUUUUUAUCUUUUCAAAUAUCAUGUAGUCAAAUACUGAAGUAGAUAAAUAAAUGAGUGGUUUUAGGGUAUUCACGAAAUAAAGAUUUAAACAUAAAAAGUAGAAUCUUGGAGAAAAUUAACAAAAACAAAAAUAGAAUAUGAUGCAAAAUAAUGGAAUACAUCAGAGAAACAUGUGACUAUUAAAUGCAAAAGCAGCAACAUAAGUAACUCGAAAAUAGAGAAAAAUUUAUUCAAAAAAGAAAAGAAAAAAGAUCAUGAAACAUCUAAGAUUCUUCCGUCCUAAAUAAUACCCUUGCAUCAUAAUUCAAGAAAGUAAUAAACAAAUCCAGCUAAAUAUAUUUGUAACACGAUUUCCAGAUCAUCUAUCUACUAUUAUUUCUCAGACUUUUUAUGUUUUUGUUUUUGUUUUGAUCGUACAAGUUUAUAUAUAAAUGAUACGACCCAGCCAAUCAUAUGUCUGUGUUUGUAAUCAUCCGUAUGUACAUGUGCAGAACACAAUCAAAUUACGUAUACGUAUAUUAUUCUAUAACAUCACAACAUUAUAUAUACAUUAUAUGUAAAAGAAUGAUAUAGUAUUAUAGUAUACGAGUGCUUACAUUUUACCUAUAUGAUAUGUAAUAUUAUAUAAAUAUUUACGUGUACACGCGAAUAGGCUCGUUCAGAAUUCACGUCAUACUUGCGUAUAUAGAUCAUAGAUGAUAUAUAUUAGUUUAUUAAAGGUACGGGAUGUCAUAACAAAAACUGUAGGUAAAAUACGUCAAUUAUAAAUGAUAAAGGGUCUUCUGCAUGUAACACUAGGACGACUCGUUAUCAUUUUCAUCCGGUUUGGUGGAAUCAAACUUCUUCUCGUGGUUUCAUACUAAACAACCAUAAUCUACUAAACCGAACUCAGUACAAUUUGGUUCGCCGUUGUAUGAUGUAAAAAAAGAAUUGAAAUGUAAGCAUUGAUGAAGUAACUAAAUACAGUAUAUAUACUUCAAAAUAUAUCAUUAAUUCCGAUCAAAUUUUGCCUAUAAAAUUCCAAGUUUAUAGGAAGUAAGAACAGAGUUCCAAAUGGAAAUGAGAUCAAUGGAGAUAAACCAAGUGAAUUUUUAUAAGUUGAAGCAAAGAAUCAUAAAGUUGAAGAAGUAGACUGGUUUCUUUAUUUACCAAUGGAUUUCAAAUUAUCAUGUUGCAAAAGAAAUGAAAAAAAAAUGCACUAAAUGAUCUCUUUUGAAAGAAUCAGAAACCUUCCAAACACUAUUCAAAUCCCGAAGAUGAUUCAAAGAAUAUGUUUAUUCAUAUUAACAAUGGCACCAUUUGUUAGAUAUUUAACAUCUAUGGAGCAAAACCGAAGAGAGAAAGAACGAGACAGAGGUAGAGCACGAAGAAACCGAAUUGAUGGAAACUCACCAAAAAAGCUAGAGACAGAGAGAAGGAAUGACCUCCAAAAACUGUUUCAAAUGGACAUAAUAAAAGCUUGGAACAAGUUCUCUGCACAACGCAUCUGUUCAGGUGUGCCUGAUAGGAGAGCAAUGCGAUCCCUUGUGAAGUUGUGGAAUCAGAAAUUUUCUAUCAUCGCUCCUGAUAUCUGAAGGAGAGAGAGAGAGAGAAGUAUGCCAAAUGAAAAAAAAAAAGGAGGGAAAAGAAAAACCGAAAUAACGAUCAAAAGAUUUCAGAAACAAACCCUUCUUAUGUUCUCCAAAUUGCCGCCUCCUUUACCCAUAACUUUACUACUGCAUUCGACGGGACUAGAAUGUCCAAGGCAGAAGAUGAAUGCAAUCUAAUAAUCAAGAAAGAACAUUUACAGAGUCAUGAAAAAAGUGAUAAAGAAUAAGCCAACUUCUUUAUUGUAGUUUGCAAACUUACCCUCCAUAUGAGUAUGAACCGAUUGAUCCAAAACCAUUACCUCCUGCCUAUUUAUGAAAAAAUAGGCUAAGUCAUGAGUAUGACAUUUACACCAAGAGAAUCAGCGGAAUUCAACAUGCGACCUUACAGGGAAACUUCCAUAACCAUAGAGUCCGCCUGAAGAAACCAUUCCCAAGCUACUUCCCCAAAACGGAUGUGUAAACCAGGAUUACUACUACUCGAGAAGAAACUACUAUCAUGAGAUCUUUCAGGAGGAUUCCAAGCAGCAGAGCUGCCUCUAUUGCCUAAAACAUCCUCUCGAAGUCUUAGAACAAUCUGGAUGAGAGCAUCUCUUACACUGCUGACUUCACCUGAUACCUAAUGGUAACAAAGAAAUGAAUCUUCAAAACUGAAUAUAAAAGCAACAGAAGAAAAAAGAUUUGAACUUUGAUGAGGAUCAUAACCUCAACAAGAUCAUCGUUAUUCCCUUUCGAGAUACGGAUAUUGGCAUUGGUUCUUUUCCUGAUUUCGGUUAUGACCGAGCCACUUUUCCCUAUAACGCAUCCAAUACCCUUGGAAGGAACAAGAAGUUGCAUCUUAACUUUUUCCUCAUCCUCAUCAUUGAUCUUCGCAGAAGAAGAACAGCUUCAACAGCCAUAGACUUCACAUCAUCAGGAAACUGAAGAAAACACACAAAAAGGAGUAUUCAUUCAUACAACAAAAACAAUAUAUAAACAAAACUUAUAGAAGAAGGAUAAAAGUGGAAUCAAACCUCUGUAGCAGUGACAAUGAUAACACACUCAUCAUCACUAUGCUUUGCCCUAUUAACUUCAAUACGAGAACCGCUUGCUUCUCUCAUUCCCUUAACGGUUGAUCCAUCUCUCCCGACAACACGGCCAAUAUUGGACAAAGGGCACAACACUUUCAAAACCAACUCUUCUGAUCUUGAAGACCCGCCAAAAACAUGAGACACCGGAAGAGAAGAAGCAAAAAACAGGCAUUGAACUCUGCAUAACCCUGAAGGUCCCCGUUACGAAGAACAGGAUCAUGAUUUGUGUAUAAUCCAGCUUGAGGAUAGACAGAAUUAGAAAGAUCCGAUGGCAUAACAAUCCUAGCUGGAACUUCUAGGACGGUUGAAUCUAGAGGAAUCUGUUCUUGGGGAUUGGUUUUGUACAUGAUAGCAGAAACAGAGAAAAGUGCGUUCUUCACAGAUUCAGGCUCACCAGAUAUCUACUUGAUUGAAAAGACGAAACAUUCGAUAACAAUCAAUUAGCAAAAGAAAAGCAAGCAAGAUUGAGAAUAUUAAGCAAUUCCAGAUGGCUAACCAGAACAAUAUUGUCAAAUUCCAAGGCACAAGCGUGAGAAGGAUCCGAGACAUCUUUCGAAAUAACCUUAACACUAGCUCCACUUCUACUUCUUAUCCUCUUAAUGUUCGAACCAGCCUUACCGAUCACACUAGAAGAUUGACUAGACGGAACUAAAAGGCGACAUUGCUUCUAAUCAUCUCUAUCUAUCUUAGUGUUAUUUCCAGCGCUAACAAUUGCCUCGUGGCUUGAAGAAGAGCAUCUUGUGCACAACAUAGUGGCUCGGUUUCGCUCUUUGUUAUGUCGAUUUUCUCUUUAACCGAGCAAUAGAUUGUUAUGACUCUUUCGCUGCAAGGUAACUGAUCAAUGAUUUUGAUCUUCGCUUUCGUGUUAUGCCUAAUCGCGUUUAUGACUUUACCACUCUUACCUAUAACACCUCCAAUGACUGCCACAGGGCAUAGGAUUCUGUAAAUUACAAGUUCGUCCCUGUUGAUGUUUUCAUCGUUGUCAUGCGAAAUUCGCCUCUUUUGAUUCCUCUUGUCCUCAUUGUUGUUUCUGUGAUUAGAUUUCCGUUUCUUCCGCUCAACCAUUGUUAGUGUACCAGGAAACAGAGUUGAGAUCAAAUGGUGAUUAAAGGCACGUAAAGGAGAAAACUUUUGCUAGUAAGAACAAUAUAUCUGAUUCGAAGAGUCGGAUAAAAUUGAGAAAACAGAAAACAAGUCUAGACGAGUCUGAAAUUGAGUGAAAUUAGAGAAAAAUCAAAGUGACAAUGUGAUCAAUUUGGAGCUCAUAAGAGUUUUGAAAUUCGACAAAAUAAACCAAGACAUACGGAAGUUAAAAAAGACGAUAGGAGAGAUUGGCACAGAUGUAGGUGAACAAGAACAACUUUGAAACAAAAUUGAGAUUGGUCGGAGAAAACGUUUCGGGAGAUGAAGGAGGACGGAAGAGAAGACACGGCGGCGGAUAAGUUAGAUUCUUUGAUCAGUUAGACCAACCUUUCUUUUUUAUUUCGUAAUUGGUCCCGUUACUUCAAAAUUGACAAAUAAGACCCAAAAUUUUUGUGUCAAUUUGUUCUUUCCGUUCCCAAACGAUGCCGUUUUCUUAUUUAGGGCUUUUCGGCAAAACCGACGUAGUACGGAACAUACGCGAUAAUCUAUUUCGUCUUCUCCGAUAAUCGUCUCAGACUCUCAGCUGAGCGCGAAUCGACGCCGUCGAUUAAUCAUAGCGUUUCUUGAGCCUCGUCGGUGAAGCUCAGAAGACUACUACGUACAGAAUCUUUUCUCGCUUCUGCUAUAUCUUUCCUUGUCCGAUUUGCUUUUAUUUCUUUGGUUUUGGGUAUCUUCUGGGCUUACUCCGUGUUUGUUGAUCGAUUUUGGUCAUUGUUUAUGAACUGAUUUCGUGUUGAUGACUGGAUGGUGUGGCUGUGUGGGGGAAAUUAGAAAGUAGACUGGCUCGAAUCUGUAAUCGUCUUUUCGCUAGAUUCGUAGUUGCUAUGUGUCAAAUUUUUGAACUUUUAGAUUCCGGAAUUUGCACUGUUUUUGUUAAACCUCAAAAACCACUCUGUUCAUAUUAUUGAGCCAAUAACAAUAUGCAACUAAGACUUUGACACAACAAAGUUUACAACUUCGGUUAUUGCAUCUAUCUGAUUCGAAUGUUACUCUAUUUCUUCAUAAUGUGAUUGUUCCUCAUUACUUUGUGUGUGUUAUUGAUGUUUAAGCUUUGUUCUGGUGUAAAGCAUAUACAAGAAUGGAACAAGAUGCAGAGAGAAGCGCCACGACUGUUGCAUCGACCUCUCAAGGGUCGAAAUUAGAUCCGAUAGCUCGAGUGAGGAAGCUCUUGUUCCGCCAGAUGCUCGUGGGAAUCAAAGACGGGAGAUUCUUCCUUGGAAAUUUCCAUUGCAUUGACAAACAAGGAAACAUAAUUCUCCAGGACACCGUGGAGUAUCGUAGCAUAAGAAGAUCGUCUCCUUCGCCUACUGAACAGCGUUGUCUUGGUAUGAUCCUAAUCCCUUCCUCUUGCAGGACAUCUUGCCAUGUAGAUUGCUCUAUCGAGGAACAGCUUUCGUUGAUUCAGCUGAAAGAGUAGAGCCUCUUUUACGACUUGAUGAGAGAAUCUCUCCGGAGUUCAUCAAAUGUUUAGUCUUUCUGAAUGACAUCCGAUUGUACAUUAACUAUGAAGUCUAUAAUUCAAACAUUCGUACUGUCACAGGUUGUGAUUUUAUGUAGCAAGAAGUUUCUGAGUGCAUUUUCAGUUUAAGAUCAAAUACCACCAAAAAAACGUUUAUUACAAAAUCAUGAAAUAGAAAACUACAUUUGGAGAACACACACAUACACAUGCUUUACAAACACUUACAAUAAACUACAAGAGAAGGUGUUCAACAGGCGCUUCUUCUGGGAUUGUUUCGACGGAACAUUUCCAUAAACCACUCGUGUUUUUGGGUGAAGAAGAUAUGUCCAAUCACUGGGUGAAGAAGAUAUGUCCAAUCACAAAUCCGCAGAACACACCAGGUCCAUAGGCUAUAGCCGCUGCUAUCCAACUAAUCACUUGUUGUUCUUCUGGCUCCGACAAAUCCUCGGGUUCUUGUGGUUUAGGAUCAAGGACAUGAGUUUGUCCGCAUAUAUCUUGGAGACCGUAGAGUCUAGGGUUGUCCAUGAAUGCAGAACAAUUCUGCCUUUGAAAUUGUGUGCCUCGUGGUAUAGGACCUUCCUGAUUGUUGUGGGAGAAGUUCAUAGUCGACAGAAAGGAGAGCCUGCCAAGAUCUGGAGGAAUCUGACCUGAUAGCUGAUUCCGAGAUAGGUCAAGUGCCUCGAGAUUUUUCAAAUUUGCCAGCGAUUGAGGUAUACUGCUUGUGAAUGCGUUACCUGACAAGUUGAGAAGACGCAAUUCCUUGAGCAAUCCAAUGGAUUUUGGGAUCUCUCCAACAAAAUUGUUUCCCGAAAAGUCAACAGCUCUGAAAUCGUUUAGGAUCUGCUCAAAUUCCGUAUCGACACCUUUAUUCACCAUUUCCAUCCAAUUACGGUGGCGAUCACGAUAACGGGGAUCAUGAUAAUACAACUGAUCUUCCAUGUACAAGACACCAACUUCUUCGGAUGAUGUGGUCAUAGCACGCAAGUUGGAGAAAUAGAAAGGUGGCAAAGUUCCAGUGAAGUCGUUAUGUGAAAUAUCCAUGACUUUUAAACUUUGAAACCCAAUGGACUCGUUGCGAUCAUACAACCGCCCGUAGAAUUUGUUUGAUCGUAGGAUCAUGACAUGUAACGAGGGCAAAGAACUCAACCAAGAUGGAAACUUGUCCUCGAAUCGGUUGCCUCUCACAAUCAAAAGUUGCAAAAAAUAGCAGUUGAUCAAUGAUUCUGGAAGUUUUCCCUCCAAUUGGUUAUCGCUGACGUCAACUAACAGUAAGUUGAAAGCACGGCCAAAUAUCUUUGGAGGAAGAAUCCCACUGAAAGUGUUGUUACGCAAAUUUAGCUCUAUGAGACCAGUAAAACUAUCCUUCAAACAUUGAGGGAUAGAACCGUUGAAGCUAUUGCUGGACAAAUCUAAGACUUCUAUCGAUACAAGCUUGCAGAUCCAAGAGGGUAAUGGUCCUCGGAAAGAAUUUGAACUCACAUCCAACCCCUGGGUUCGUGUUAAAUCGGAAACUUCAAAUGAUUUGUCAAAACCGCUAAAAGAGUUGCCAGAAAGAAACAACGUCCCCAGGCCCGCUAAAUAACCAGGUAUUUCACCUUCCAAAUUAUUGUUGGAAAUAUCCAGAUGCUGGAGUUUUGGUAAAUUUAACCUAGGGAUUGGCCCAAUGAAAUUGUUGUGGCUAAGAUCGAAAUCACUGAGGUUGACUAACUUUGAUAUGGAUGUGGGGAUUGACCCAGUGAAGUUGUUGUGGCUAAGAUGGAGAGUUUCGAGGUUGACUAACUUUGAUAUGGAUGUGGGGCUUGGUCCAACUAAAUUGUUGUGGCUAAGAUUGAGACUAACGAGGUUGACUAACUUGGAUAUAGAUGUGGGGAUUGACCCAGUGAAAUUGUUGCUACCAAGACGUAAACUUUCAAGAUUGGGAAAAUUUGAUAUGGAUUUGGGGAUAAGGCCAUGGAAUCUGUUUUGUGAAAGGUCUAGCUCCGAAAGCUUAGAGGACGAAGAUGUAUUACUAAACUCUAUAGGUCCCUUGAACUGGUUUCCACUCAAACUAACCCCUCUUAACGAAGGAAUCAUGAACAAGGAUGUAGGAAAAGGCCCGGAAAAUGAGUUUCCACUCACAUCAAAGUCCUCCAAUUUGUGGAAUCUACUCAUGUCACGUGGAAGCGUGGAUUCAAACUGAUUAUCGGCAAUGCCUAAGAAGGACAAAGUGGUUAAAUUUUCUAGUAUAAGAGGGAAAUCCACACACGUGAACUGGUUGCCUGAGAUGUCUAAAUAGGACAGUUUCAUUAAGUUGGCAAAUGAAACAGGAAUGUUCCCACUGAACUCGUUACUGCCAAGGCUCAGGUAUCUUAGUUGGGUUAGGUUUCCGACUAAAGGCAGAACUUCACCUACUAAAUGAUUUCCCCAAAGGUCAAGAUGUGUGAGAUGAGAAAGGUUUCCUAACGAAGAAGGAAUCUCUCCAUAGAGAUGGCAAAAACUAAGACUUAGGUUACGAAGAUGAUGGAGUUUGAAAAGACCACUAUCUGGUUUCAAAGAGUUGUUGAGAGAGAUGCGACUAAGGUUAAGUGAAAUAACCUCGCCAGAUUUAGUAUCACACGUGACAUCCUCCCAAAAACAGCAAUCAGUGCUCUUGUUCCAUAAACUUAUAGAUGGAUGUUCCAAAGAGUAAUAAGAUUUAAUUACCAGAAACUCGUGUUUGAACUCCAGGAGAGCAUCCCUCUGGUCAUGACGGCAAUAGUGGAGCAUGGGAGAAGCAAGAGUGUGUAGAACGAGGGAAACCAAGAAGAAGAAGGAAUACAAGGUAAAAAUGCCAGAAAAGCAAUAAGAUUGGUUUGAAAUCAUCAUUACCCUCUUCUUUUUUUCCUUCUUUCUUUUGUGUUUGUUUGGAAUUGAUAGUUUUUAAUGAUUAUGGCUUAUGCACCUAUUUAUCAAAAAACAAAAACUCAAUUUGUCUUGACUUUGGCAAGUCUUGCGUCAAGUCGUCGGAUCCGGUUAGUUUUUUCUUGACGGUAGGGUUCGCCGUGGAACUGACGUCUUCAAAGCAUUGGCUCUUGUAACUUCAUGUGUCUUUGUAAGUUCAUCCACCGAUAGAAGUCUCACACUCUCUUUCGUUUUCAACUCGCUCCCUUAACUUCCAGUUCCACUAAAAUAACUCUGACCGCAUGUCCCUGAUUUUCACUCUUUUUUCAUAUUGUGCCCCAAACUUUUGAUUUAUUUCAAUCUACUAAAAUUCUCCAGGUCACGGUGGAGUAUCUCGUAGCAUAAGAAGAUCGUCUCCUUCGCCUACUGAACAGCGUUGUCUUGGUAUGAUCCUAAUCCCUUCCUCUUGUUAUGUCGAUUGCUCUAUCGAGGAACAGCUUUCAUUGGUUCAGUAAUUGAGCUCUCGUUUAAUACUUCACGAGAGUAUCUCUCCAGAUUUCAUCAAUGUAUAACCCAAUAUUAUCAUGGAUUUGGUCUCUUCAUUAUGCCCAAAAUCAAAAUCUUUAUUUUGUGUCCUUGUAUUUGUAUGAUAAAUGAUUCACAAAAUCUUAUCAAGAAAAAAUGUAUACAUGCAUUGGAAACCCUUUUGGAAUUUUUUUGUAUUUACAUUAUUGAAGACAAAAAAAGAUAUUUGUUUUCUUCAGAAUCUGUCUCUAUAAGCUGUUCCAUACACAAUGAGGUAGGGUACUGUUCUAACAACUGUGUCAAUGGGAAUGGCAAAGUUCACACCGGAAGACAUACCCGACCCUGCAACACAAACAUUCUCUUUCUUCAGUAUCUUAUUCAAGUUUUAAAACAGAGAAUCAAAGAACAGAUUUAUGUUUUAUGUUCUUUAGAUUUGGUAAAAGAUCACAUUUUCACCUUUGCGGGUGAAAGUGGACGUGUUCACGCCUAUGGUAUGACCAUAAGAAUCAAGCAAUGGCCCUCCAGAAUUUCCUAUAUACAGCAUUACAUAAACGAAAAAACUGCGAUAUUCAUAAAACCAAAUAGAAGAAACUGAGAGAUGUUUUGUGAAUUACCUGAGUUAAUAUCAGCAUCUGUUUGGAUAGCCUCUCGAAUACUCUUCCCAUUAGGUGAAGGUAUCUCUCUUCCCAACCCACUCACAACCUACAAAUCCCCAUGAAUAACAUACAGUGAAAUGUUUCGAGUAUAUAUACAAGAACUCAGGAACUUCUUACUCUUACCCCUAUUGUCAAAGUGUUUUCAUAUCCGUAGGGAUUCCCGAUCGCGAAGCAAUUCUGACCAACUCGUAGAUCACUGGAGGUACCGAGAACAACAGGUUUUAGUUCACGUCCCUCGGUAUCAAUCUGAAAAUGUAAAAGGUGUUAAUAAGGACUAAACAGGUAUGACUCAAAAUGGUCAGAAAAUAUGCUCAACGUCUUUUUCCUUAAGAUUACCUUCAACACAGCUAAAUCAUUAUCUGGAUCAAGACCCACAAUCUUCCCAACCUUGCUAAAUCUUGUUCCGAUGGCAUCAACUAGAGACACCUGCACAAAAGACCACACAGUAAUUUGCUCUUAAGUUACUUCGUUUGGCUUUGUGUUUUUUUUUCGCUGCAGUUGGUAUAAAGAAGAAGGAGACCUUGCAACGUUGUAAUCCACUCUGAUCUGUAGCUAACUUGGCAAUGACAUGAUAAUUUGUUACCUACAUUGUACAAGACACAAGCUUUUUUCAGAUUUUUUCCAGGAUUCAAAACAAGAAACUUGAGUUUUUCUUUCGCUUAACACAGAAGAAGGAUUUUUUUUUGGCUUACAAUGUGACCGAGGUUAUCCCAAACGAAGCCUGAACCUGUCCCUUCGAUCUUCGCAUUUCCCUCAUCAGUGAGUGUGAACUCGUUAUCAGUCGAUGUUUUGGGCAGCUCAAAGUCUUCGAUAAAAACAACAGACGGCGAAGUUUUCUGCGAAAAGCAAGCAAAAUUGAGAUUUUUUUUCUACAGAGAAAAAGAUAAAGGGUCAAUCUCAAAGGAGUAAUUAGGCCGAAACCUGGAAGAGAUUGACAUUUCUCUCUUCUUCGUCCUCGAGCUCAUCCUCUUUUUCCUUGAAUAGCUCCAACGCGAUCGCAGAUUCAACCGGAAAUCUCUGACGAUUGGAACCAAGCAGAGUCGACGCGAGCGCUAAACUAGAACCGAAGAUCAAGAUUCUUCUUCUCCGAUCGACGACGUCUACAGGAUUCGAACAGGAGAUAGCUAACACGAAAUUCGACCGAUUGAAUGGAGGUAAAGCAUAAGAGACUGAGGAAAAAGCUUUAGAAGAAGCAAGAGCCACUGCCAUGGCUUCUUCUUCUUCUUCUUUCUAGAAGCUCUCCUACAAUGGCUCUCACUCACUCAACUUCCCACCCUAGAGGAGAUAAGACGGAGGGAAAAGGUUCGGUUUUUUUCCCGGUUCGGUUCGUAAUCGAACCAAAAAUGGUUCUGUGAUUCUACAGAUUAAUCAGGUAACCGGGUUAACAGUUUGGCAUGUUAAUGGUUGGUUGAUAAAUGUGAAAAAGUCACGUGAUAAGAACAGAUAAAAAAAAAAUAUACACACAGAGACAGAGAGACGUACGUUGUUUUGUGACGUCUACAUCGGGAAUAUUCAAUCAAUCCCACAUUAUUUUCUUCUUUUUUCUUAUAGUAUUCUUCGCCACCUUCCCAAGAAGACGAAGCCGCUCUCUGUAAGCUCUCUGUAAGCUCUCUCGUUCAUGAUUUGUUUGGAUUUUUUUUAUAAUCGAGAAUCAAAGUGAGUGAGUGAAGAUCCUGUGAUUUUAGAAUCUGAGUCAGAUUUUGUUUGGUUCUGUAAUCGCUUACUGUAUUGUUUAUAGUUGACCUUUGUAGUUUCCAGUCUUCGUUAUUGUUCCCAAAUCUUAAAUUUGAGGAAGUGAUUUUGAUGAUGGAGGUGUUUCAUUAAACAGGACAAGUUUUCAUUUUGAGGUUUGAGAAGAAAAAAAAAAUGGAGAUAACAAACGUGAUGGAAUAUGAGAAGAUCGCGAAGGAGAAAUUACCGAAGAUGGUUUAUGAUUAUUAUGCAUCUGGUGCAGAGGAUCAAUGGACUCUUCAGGAGAAUCGCAACGCUUUCUCCAGGAUCCUGUAAGCGAAAACGAAUUAUAACAACUAAGGAAUUAAUCUCCCUUUGAUUGUUUUAUAUGUGGGAGAAUUUAUAACUGUUUUCUUGUGUUUGAAACAGAUUUAGGCCUCGAAUACUCAUCGAUGUAAGCGAGAUUGAUGUGAGCACAACGGUUUUAGGGUUUAACAUUUCUAUGCCAAUCAUGAUUGCUCCUACAGCAAUGCAGAAAAUGGCUCACCCUGAUGGUAAAGUCUUUUAGAGUUAUCUUGUGAAGAAAAGAAGAUUUUUAGCUUAGUGUAACGUUUUCUGAUAAAAAGGUCUUAGCUUUUGGAGUUUAACAUGUAUAUAUAUGCAUUCUCAUUUCUCUUUACUUAGAGAAUACUCGUUCUCACUAUGUGAAAAUGGUUUAUUUUCGUUGCAGGCGAGCUUGCAACUGCGAGAGCUACUUCUGCUGCUGGAACAAUCAUGGUUUAACUCUCACCUUACUUGAUAUCUCCUCUGUUCAUUAUAUUUACUUUUGAGGCUCUUUUGGAUUAUUUCGUAAAUGAAACUUUGAUAUUUUUCAGACUUUAUCUUCAUGGGCUACUUGUAGUGUUGAGGAAGUUGCUUCCACAGGGCCUGGGAUCCGCUUUUUCCAACUCUAUGUAAGUUUCAGAAGAUCUCCUACUACUUCUUUUGGUCUGGCUUGGAUUUCAAAUGUGGUUUUGUUAAUUCUCUUGAGUCAGGUUUACAAGGACAGAAAUGUGGUUAGACAGCUAGUGAAACGAGCUGAAGAAGCUGGAUUCAAAGCGAUUGCUCUUACAGUAGAUACCCCGAGGCUUGGACGCAGAGAAUCUGACAUCAAAAACAGGUUAUGAAAUUUCACUCCAUGCAAAAACAAAAUUUUUGUGAGGUCUUUUGCUUAUAUGCUUGAUGGAUAUUAUCUUUGCAGAUUUGCUCUUCCUCGAGGUCUUACGUUGAAGAACUUCGAAGGGUUGGAUCUUGGGAAAAUCGACAAGGUCAGUGGCACAGUGAUAAACACAAAUGGAUCUAAAAGCUCAAUACUUUAAAAAUCUUUUCUUUUUGUUUUCUGUCGAUAAUUGCAGACCGAUGACUCAGGGCUAGCUUCAUAUGUUGCUGGUCAAGUUGAUCAAUCACUAAGCUGGAAGGUCAGAAUCUGUAGCAAGAUUUUCGCUUGUUUCGUCCGCGAGAUUCAGAAACAUAAUAACUCGCUUCUUUUCACUGUCUUUUCUCUUCUUCCAGGAUAUAAAGUGGCUCCAAUCUAUCACAAGCUUGCCAAUUCUUGUUAAGGGUGUUAUUACAGCAGAGGAUGGUAAUAAUCUGCAUCAGCCUUUUACUUUAAAAUUUCCAUAAUGUUAAAGAAGAUUCAUCUGAUCAUUCUAAAUUGUGCAGCAAGAAUCGCCGUUGAAUAUGGAGCUGCAGGGAUCAUAGUUUCUAAUCACGGAGCUCGACAGCUCGAUUAUGUCCCUGCAACUAUAAUGGCCCUCGAAGAGGUUAAGCAACCGUUAUGAAUAGAGCCUUCAGCUUUUUUUUCUUUCUAUUUUGUAAUUCGAAUUUGAUUCGACUGUGCUAACUCAAAUUGCAGGUGGUUAAGGCCGUGGAGGGCCGGAUUCCGGUUUUUCUUGACGGUGGGGUUCGCCGUGGAACCGAUGUCUUUAAAGCAUUAGCUCUUGGCGCUUCAGGUGUCUUUGUAAGUACAUUGAUCACACACUCUUUAGCUCUUGUCAUUUCCCCUGUUUCCUCUCUGUUUUUUUUUUUUUUUUUUUUAAAAUCGAUUCUCUAAUAACUUCCAGUUUCACUAAAAUAACUCCGAUUGUCUCUCCCUGACUUUUACCACUUUUUCACAUUGUGCGCCAAACUUUUAAAUUUGUCCAAAUAAAACCAAGAAAAUGACUAUAUCAUAUUGCUAGCAUAUGAGUACUCUCACACGAUCGAUCAUAUGAUAAUCCACACGACAUGUUAACUGAUUAGGUCGGGAGGCCGAGCUUGUUCUCGCUUGCAGCAGACGGGGAGGCGGGAGUGAGGAAGAUGCUGCAAAUGCUAAGAGACGAGUUCGAGCUGACAAUGGCACUAAGUGGCUGCCGUUCGCUGAGAGAGAUCAGUCGAAACCACAUCAAGACCGAUUGGGACUUUCCUCAUUACUUCCCGGCCAAGCUAUAGCUAAUAACUUAUUCACUUCUUUUGAUAGUGUCAUCAAAGAGAAUGAAAAGAGAGAUAGAUUGAUGUUUGAAUUUAUAAUUCAAUAAUGUAUUUCCCAUCCAAAUUUAAAAAUCGAUUGAGUUAAAGAAAAUUGCAUUUGAGAAUUCAGUUAUAUAGCAUUUGAAUAUUGAGAUCAACAUAUCUAUUUUCUUUUAACCGUUUAAGGAAACACUAAAUAGUAUAAACUUUUUCUACUGUUUGGUUGGUACUUAGUACCCUUAAUAAUUUUCUUGGAGGCUUUGGCCUUUAAUCAUCACGUUUCCAAUAUUUGAUUUCCCAAACGAAUUUGUCGUAGCAUAGCACAGCAAGAGUGACGUGUGCGAUAAGCAAUGGUAUUAGAGACUCAUCCUGAGUGAUUUAGGAGAAGAAAAGUUUACCAUUGGGCUUUUUGACUUGGAAAAAGACUUAAAAACAACGAGAAUUAAUUUAUAUGACAUCAAAAUCAUAAACACACAAUAGUUUAAGGAAUUAUCAACUAUUGAAGUCUAUAAUUCAAACAUUCGUGUACUGUCACAGGUUGGGAUUUUAUGUUAGCAAGAAGUUUCUGAGUGCAUUUUCAGAUUAAGAUCAAAUAUCACCAAAGACGUUUAUACAAUAGAAAAUUACAUUUGGAGAACACACACAUACAUAUUCUUCAUAAACACUCGAAGAGAUAAGGUCUCUUCAACGGGCAUUUCUUUUGGGAUUAAUUGCUUGGACGGAACAUUUCCAUGAACCACUCGUGUUUUUGGGUGAAGAAGAUAUGUCCAAUCACAAAUCCGCAGAACACACCAGGUGCAUAGGCUAUGGCCGCUGCUAUCCAACUAAUCACUUGUUGUUCUUCUGGCUCCGACAAAUCCUCGGUUUCUUGUGGUGUAGGAUCAGGGACAUGAGUUUCUCCGCAUAUGUCUUCGAGACCGUUGAGUCUGGGGUUGUCCAUGAAUGCAGAACAAUUCUGCCUUUGAAACUGUGUGCCUUUUGGUAUUGGACCUUGGAGAUUGUUAUGUGAGAAGUUCAUGGUCGACAGAAAGGAGAGGCUUCCAAGAUCUGGAGGAAUCUGACCUGACAGCUGAUUCCGAGAUAGGUCUAGUGCCUCGAGAUUUUUCAAAUUUGCCAACGAUUGAGGUAUGUUGCUUGUGAAUGCGUUACCUGACAAGUUGAGAAGACGCAAUCCCUUGAGCAGUCCAAUGGAUUUCGGGAUUUCUCCAACAAAAUUGUUUCCCGAAAAGUCAAUAGCUCUGAAGUCUUUUAAAAUCUGCUCAAAUUUCGUAUCGACUCCUUUAUUCACCAUUUCCAUCGAAGGAAGGUAGUAACCACCAGAAAACCCGGGAUUUUCCAUGUACAUGCCAGUAGAGAUGUCUUUGGAUAAUGUGGUCAUUUCACGCCAGUUGGAGAAAUAGAAAGGCGGCAAAGUUCCAUUGAGGUCGUUAUGUGAAAUAUCAAUGACCUUUAAACUUUGAAACCCAAUGGAUACAUUGGGAUGAUCAUACAACGGCCCGUAGAAUUCAUUUGAUCGUAUGAUCAAGACAUUUAACGACGGCAGAGAACUCAACCAAGAUGGAAACUUGUCUUUGAAUCGGUUGCUUCUCACAUUUAAAAUUUCCAAAUAACGUGAGUUGAUCAAUGAUUCUGGAAGCUUUCCCUCAAACUUGUUGCCGCUAACGUCAACUCUUAUUAGUCUGGUAGCAUUGACAAAUAUCUCUGGAAGAAGAAUUCCACUGAAAUCGUUGUUUUGCAUAUUUAGCGUUCGAAGAUCAACAACAAUAUUCUUAAAACAUUGAGGAAUGGAGCCGUUGAAGCUAUUGUUGGACAAAUCCAAAAGAUCUAACGAUCUAAGCUUGCAGAUCCAAGAGGGUAAUGGUCCUCGGAAAGAAUUCGAACUAAGAUCCAACAAUAUGAUUUGUGUUAAAUCGGAAACUUCAAAUGAUUUUGCAAAACUUUUGAAAGAAUUGCCAGAAAGCAUCGAUGCCGACAAGCCCGCUAACCAACCUGGUAUUUCACCUUCCAACUUAUUGUUGGAAAGAUCAAGACUUUUGAGUUUGACUAUAUUUGAUCUAGGGAUUGGCCCAACUAAAUUGUUGUGGCUAAGAUCAAGAAUUUCGAGGUUGACUAACUUUGACAAAAAUGUGGGGACUGACCCAGUGAAACUGUUGCUACCAAGAAAUAAAUGUUCAAGAUUGGAAAAUUUUGAAAUGGAUUUGGGGAUAGGGCCAUCGAAUUUGUUGUGAGAAAGGUAUAGACCCUGAAGCUUAGAGGACGAAGAUGUAUUACUAAAUUCUAUUGGUCCCUUGAACUGGUUUCUCGUCAAAACAACCCAUGUUAACGAAGGAUUCAUGAACAAUGAUGUAGGAAAAGACCCGGAAAAUGAGUUUCCACCCACAUAAAAUUCCUCUAAGUUAUGGAAUCUACUCAUGUCACGUGGAAGCGUGGAUUCGAAUUGAUUUUCUGAGAUGUCUAAAUAGGACAGUUUCGUUAAAUUGGCAAAUGAAACAGGAAUAUUCCCACUGAACUUGUUACUGCUAAGGCUCAGGUACCUUAGUUGGGUUAGGUUUCCGACUAAAGCCAUAACUUCACCUACUAAAUAAUUUUCCGAAAGGUCAAGAUGUGUGAGAUGGGAAAGGUUUCCUAAUGAAGAAGGAAUCUCUCCAUAGAGAUAGCAGUUUGCAAGAGUGAGGUUACGAAGAUGAUGGAGUUUGAAAAGACCACUAUUUGGGUUCAAAGAGUUGUUGAAAGGGGAGAAACUAAGGUCAAGUGAAAUAACCUCGCCAGAUUUAGCAUCACACGUGACACCCCUCCAAAAACAGCAAUCACUAGUCUUGUUCCAUGAACUUAAAUAUGGACUUGAGUUGGAUUCAUUUACUGGAAACUCGUGUUUGAAAUCCAGAAGAGCAUCCCUCUGGUCAUGACGGCAAUAGUGGAGCAUGGGAGAAGCAAGAGUGUGUAGGAAGAGGGAAACCAAGAAGAAGAAGGAAUACAAGGUAGCAAUACCAGAAAAACAAUAAGAUUGGUUUGAAAUCAUCAUUACCCUCUUCUUUUUUUUCUUUUGUGUUUGCGUUGAAGUGAUAGGUUUUUAAUGAUUACGGCUUACGCAGUUAUUUAUAAAACCAAAACACACACAAAAAAAAAAUUCUUCUAAUCCUCUCUAGCAUCAGAUGAUUUGUGCCUCAAAUGUAUAUAAUAUUAGACCGAAGCCGUGAUUGACUGGCUCGGGUGGUCGGAUUCUUUUUUCUUUCUUUUCUUUCUUUUGUGUUUGUGUGGAAGUGGUAGGUUAUUCAAUGAUUGUGGCUUACGCGAUUUUUUUUUAAAAAGAUUAUAAAAACUCAAUUUGUCUUGUUUUUGGCAAGUCUUGCGCCAAGUCGUCUUAUUCCGUGUAUAUUGGUUGACUCAAAAUUUUCCAUAUAUAAUCAUAUAUUAAUUUUUUCUAAUUAUGUUUUUAUUGUAAUGCUCAAAAUGAUGCCUCUCUAUAGGGAAGACUAAAUUUUUUAAAAGGGUUUAUAUAUAAAAAAGAACUUGAUGCGCAGGUUUUCAAGAACUAACCCAAGUUUAAUUACUCUAGUUGGAGUUCGACUGAGUUAGGCUCUUUGGGACUAUAAAGGUGGAGCUUUUGCAUCAGUGGCCAAGAAAGAUAAUUUCUCUUGUUGUGAUUUUGAAAGGUGAGAAAGAUUCACUAGAUUUUGAGUAAAAGAAAAUUGCAUGAGAAUUCAGUGAAAGUUUUUAAAUAUUGAGAUCUAAAUAUCUAUUUACUUUUUACCGUUUGAAAAAAUACAUAGUAUGUACUCUUCUGCUGUUUGGUUAGUACCCUUAUUUAUUUGCGUGAAUGCUUUGGCCUUGAGUCCUCCAAUAUUUAAUUUCAUCCUCAAAACAACCCCUCACUAUUCCAAUCUUUAAUUUCUCAUUCGAAUCUGCUGUAGCAUAGCAUAUCAUGAGUGACGUGUGUGAGAAGCAAGAGUGUUAAAGACUUUAAUCCUCUGUGAUGUAGGAGAAGAAAAGUUUCCAUUGGUCUUUUUUACUUAAAAUUUUUUCGUAAGGAUAAGACUUUAAAAACGACGUGAAUCCAUGGUUCUCAUGAAAGAGUCCAAAAAUCAUAAUCACCAAAAGAAUAUAGCAUUCCAGAUAACUAACCAUUGGUAUAGUUUGAUGAAUUAAUCUGAUUAUACAUUAACUAUGGACUCUAUGAUUUGGUCGACUAUGGUGAGUUUGAUCACGAGAAGAUCGUCAUGAGGAUGCACAACUCCGUACGCCUCCGAUUUCUCGAAGACAAUCGAUUAAUAAUUCAAACAUUCAUACUCUCACAGGUUGUGAUUUGUGUAGGAAGAAGUUUUUGAAUGCAUUUUCAAUUUAAGACACCAAAGAAAACUAUUACAAAACCAUAAAAUAGAAAAUAACGUUUGGAGAACACACACAUGAUCACCACAUAAAUAUGCUUCAUAAACACUCGAAGAGAGAUUGUAUUCAACGGGCACUUCUUCUAGGAUUGCUUCUACGGAACUUUUCCAUGAACCACUCGUGUUUUGGUGUGAAGAAUAUAUGUCCAAUCACAAAUCCGCAGAACACACCAGGUCCAUAGGCUAUCGCUGCUGCUAUCCAACUAAUCACUUGUUGGUCUUCUGGCUCCGACAAAUCCUCGGUUUCUUGUGGUUUUGGAUCAGGGACAUGAGUUGGUCCACAUAUAUCUUCGAGACCGUAGAGUUUAGGGUUGUACAUAAAUGAAGAACAAUUUUGCCUAUGAAACUGUGUGCCUUGUGGUAUAGGACCUUGGAGAUUGUUGUGGGAGAAGUUCAUGGACGACAGAAAGGAGAGGCUGCCAAGAUCUGGAGGAAUCUGACCUGACAACUGAUUCCCGGGAUAGGUCUAGUGCCUCGAGCUUAGUCAGAUUUGCCAAUGAUUGAGGUAUGUUGCUUGUGAAUGCGUUACCUGACAAGUUGAGAAGACGCAGUUCCUUGAGCAAUCCAAUGGAUUUCGGGAUUUCUCCAACAAAAUUGUUUCCUGAAAAGUCAAUAGCUCUGAAAUCAUUUCGGAUCUUCUCAAAUAUCGUAUCAACUCCUUUAUUCACCAUUUCCAUAGUAAGAUGGAAUAUAAUGCCAUCACCCAUGUAUUCUUCCACUCUUUCACUUAACAUGGUCAUUUCACGCCAGCUGGAAAAAUAGAAAGGCGGCAAAGUUCCAUUGAGGUCAUUAUGUGAUAUAUCGAUGAUUAUUAAACUUGGAAACCCAAUGGACACAUGGGGAUCAUACACCGGCCCGUAGAAUUCGUUUGAUCGUAGGAACAUGACUUUUAAUGACGGCAGAGAACCCAACCAAGAUGGAAACUUGUCUUUGAAUCGGUUGCUUUCCACAUUCAAAAAUUCCAAAUAACGGCAGUUGAUCAACGAUUCUGGGAGUUUUCCCUCCAACUGAUUGCCGCUGAUGUCAAGGUAACUUAACCAGGUAGCAUCAUUGACGAAUAGAUCUGGAGGAAGAAUUCCACUGAGAUUGUUGUUUUGCAACUUGAGCACUUCGAGACCUCCAACAAUUGUACUCCUCAAACAUUGAGGGAUGGAGCCGCUGAAGCUAUUGUUGGACAGAUCCAAAGCAGCGACCCUUGAUGAUGUUGUAAUCUUGCAGAUCCAAUGGGGUAAUGGUCCUCGGAAAGAAUUUGAACUUAAAUCUAACAUUGAUAUAACUCUAGAGGAAACUUGAAAUGAUUUUCCAAAACUGCUGAAAGAGUUGUGGGAAAGCACCACCUCCCCCAGCUUUCCUAUCCAGCUUGGUAUUUCGCCUUCCAACUUAUUGUUGUUAAGAUAAAUUGAAUCCGUUGUGAAUAAAUUUGAUGUGAAUCCUCGGAAAGAAUUUGAACUAAUAUCCAAGGCCUUGAAUUGUGUUAAUUUGGAAAUUUCAAACGAUUUUCCAAAGCUGGUGAAGGAGUUGCGAGAAAGUAUCAACUCCGACACGUUCGAUAACCAACCCGGUAUAUCACCUUCCAACUUAUUGUCGGAAAGAUCAAGAAACUCGAGUUUGAUUAAAUUUAAACUGGGGAUUGGCCCAACUAAGUUGUUGCCAUUAAGAUAUAAAAAUUUAAGAUUGGGAAAUUUUGAUAUGGAUUUGGGGAUAGGGCCAUCGAAUUUGUUUUGAUGUAGGUAUAGAUACUGAAGGUUAGAGGACGAAGAAGAUGAAUUACUGAAUUCUAUAGGUCCCUUAAACUGGUUUCUCCCUAAAUCAACCCAUGUUAAUGAAGGAAUCAUGAACAAAGAUGUAGGAAAAGGCCCAAAUAAUGAGUUUCCACCCACACCAAAAUACUCCAAGUUGUGGAAUCCACUCAUGUCAGGUGGAAGCGUGGAUUCUAAUUGACUUCCUUGAAUGUCAAACCUGGCUAGUUUCGUUAAAUUGGCAAAUGAAACAGGAAUAUUCCCACUGAACUGGUUAUAGCCAAGGAUUAGGGAUCUUAGUUGGGUUAGGUUUCCCACCAAAUGCAGAACUUCACCUACUAAAUCAUUUCCCGAAAGGUCAAGAUGUAUGAGGUGAGAAAGGUUUCGUAAUGAAGAAGGAAUCUCUCCAUGGAGAUGGCAACUCAUAGCAGUUAGUUGACGAAGAUGAUGGAGUUUGAAAAGACCACUAUUUGGUUUCAAAGAGUUGUUGAGAGAGGUGAAACUAAGGUCAAGUGAAAUCACCUUGCCAGAUUUAGCAUCACACAUGACACCCUCCCAAAAACAGCAAUCAAUACUGGUGUUCCAUGAACUUAAAGAUCGAUAUGAGUUGGAUUCAUUUACCGGAAACUCGUGUUUGAACUCCAAAAGAGCAUCCCUCUGGUCAUGACGGCAAGAGUGGAGCAUAGAAGAAGCAAGAGUGAGUAGAACGAGAGAAACCAAGAAGAAGAUAUACAAGGUAACAAUUCCAGAAAAGCAAUAAGAUUGGCUUGUAAUCAUCAUUACGUUUUUUUUUCUUUCUUUCUUUUGUGUUUUUGUGCAAGUGAUAGAUGUUUAAUUAUGAUUAUGGAUUAUGCAGAUAAUAAAAAAGAAAACAAAAACUCUAUUUGUCUUGACUUUGAUAAGUCUUGCCUCAAGUCGUCGGAUUCCAUUGAUUUUUGUUAACGGUGGGGUUCGCCGUGGAACAGACGUCUUUAAAUCACUGGCUCAUAGCGCUUGAUGUGUCUUUGAAAGUUUCAUUCACCACACACUCAACUUUCGUAAUUUUCCCCUCUCUUUAUUUUCAACUAGAUGAUUACCCGUGCAAAUGCACAGAAUUUUUUUUAUAUUUUUUAAAAUAUUUUUAAGUUUUUUGUAACUUAAAUAAACUCAAUUCAGAAUUUUCUUUUUUAGAUUUGUAAAAAAAAAAAAAAAGUUGUUAUUUAGUUCUUUUAAAAAUAAAUUUUUAUUAGUUUCUUUUUAGCUAUUAUUUUGUCUUCAAAGAAGCUAAUCAAACACAUAUUAUACUAAACAAAAUAUAGAGUUGAUAAUCCAACAAAUACUAAGUAUAAAAUAUCAACUUAUGGUUAUAAACUCAAGAGGCAUAUCCUAUAAAUAAAUAGAUAAAUUUAUUCGGAUUUUCCUAUUUUAAUUGGUAAAGUCUUUCACAAACUCUUCUGAAAUCAAAAAUGAAUAUAAUGGAGUUCUAACUAUGAUAUCCCAAAUUGUAUUAAACCCAUGACCACUUUUCUUCACCAAGUUUUUAGUAUGAAAUCACUAUAGAUCUCACGUUGGAGAUAAUCUUCUAUGCUAAAUCUUUCACUUGAAUUUAAUCGCUAACUUUAAUAUUCGUUAACUAAAGCGAAUUUAAAAACUAUCAGCCCAAAUUUUUUCAAAGUGACGUCUUAUGGUUCCAUAGUUCCAUAUGCUAAAUCUUAAGAACACUUGCAUGCUUGAAAAGAUUAUCGAGGCUUUGAUCACAUAAUUUCAUCCUCUUAACAUCUGUUUUACUUUUUGGGAUGCUUUAUGUAGAAGUAGAAAACUUUGGUACAGAAAAUUGGCAUAUAAACCCAAAUCUACAACUUUAGACAAAGAAACAUAUAAAAAUUGAAAACAAAUUAAAAAUCCAAAUCUUACAAUUAUGAAAUUUGUCUGAAAAGACUAUAGAAUACGAAAAAAUAAUUUAAAAAUCCAAUCUCUACAGUUAUGGGAUUUUUAUUUUAUUUAAAUUUGUUUCCAAAAUAGUUACUUACUUCCAUGAUUUUAGUUGUAUUAUUUCUAAUUAAUAAGAUUUAUCAGUCCCUUCAUUUGGUUACAAAUUUUGGUUUUUACGUCUAAAGUUGCGAAGUUUUAUGCAUAAGAGAAACGUAUUGGUAAAUUUUACAAUUACUUCCCAAUAAUUUGUUGCAUGAGAGAAAUACGACUUUUUACAAAACAAAAAUUCCUUAGUCAUAUUAGUCAUUACAACUAAAAUUUUUUUUUUCUUUAAAUAUGUUGUAUUCAUCUUCUUGACUCCUUUUAAAGAGAUAUUAUUUGGACUUUUGAGCAUACAAAUAAGUUUGAUUACAACAGAACAAAGAUUUGUCAAGAUUUAAAAUCUGAAGGCAACAUACAAACUAAAAAGAUUUGUAAUCCAAAUGUAGGCUAUAAACAAAGAGAUGAUCAUUCACUUUUAGUUCCAUAACUUUAUGUUGUUGACUUCCUGAUAUUCAUUAAGCUUUUCAGAGAUUAUGCAAUUGAUCUUUUUUUGUUUUCUCAAAUUACAUUUGAUUUUUUGUUGGACUUUGAUUUUUUGUUGGACUAUCUUUAUCAAUAAUUAAUAGAAUAAGAAGAAGUAAUAAUAUAUUCUCUCUCACUAAAAUCAAAGGAGAAGAAUUUUAACAAAAAAAAAAAAGAAGAUAAGAAGUUUAUUGUUCCUAAAAGUUUUUUGUAUUGUAUUUAAUGAUUUAGGAUUUUGGUGUUUUCUAAACAAAUUAAAAAUCAAUAAAAAAAUUUUUGGUUUAAUUUGGGCUCCCUUUGCAAAUGAACACUCUCGCCGAUCAAUUUUUGUUAUUACUACUGAAUAUUUGGUGCCUUUUCAGAACAACUUGGAUGAACCUUUUCGAACGUUUUGGUUUUCUCAAUCUAGUCCUCUGUUUUUUUUUUAAACUCUUUUGCUCUGUUUUUGAAUUUUUUUUUUUUUUUUGCUUUGUCUCAAUUCUAUUAGCUCAGGUUUAACCGUCCCAAAUCUUAGUGUUCGGAUCCUGUAAAUAUUUUAAUUUGUUGAUUCAAUGAAAUUCUCACAUUUCAACAACAACAAAAAAAAACAUACACAUGCUAGACCAAAACCCCAUAAUCACACACUAUCUUUCCAGUAGAUUCAUAUUUUUUAAAUUAAUUUAGGUUCAAUUUCCUACAUAAAAUUUAUUUAUAAAAUGGAACAGGGAACGCCAAAAGUAUCUCUUUCAAGCAUUGAAGUUGAAAUUUAGCCAUAGUAAAAAGAAACUGAAGUAGGAGCCUCCCACAGGGUUUAACAAUUAAUAAUUUUAUAAGACACACAGCUGAAGUUGAUAAUCAAAUAUUUGUUUUCACAGACGCAAAUUUCAUUUACCACAGCAAUUAAUUAAAAGUUAGUUUACACGUGAGGGUUGCUUAAGAAGAAAGUUACAUAUAUCCUAUUGCUACAUAUGAGUACUCUCACACGAUCAACCAUAUGAUAAUCCACACGAAAUGUUAACUGAGUACUUGUUCGAUUAGGUUGGGAGGCCGAGCUUGUUCUCGCUUGCAGCGGACGGAGAGGCUGGAGUGAGGAAGAUGCUGCAAAUCGAAACCACAUCAAGACCGAUUGGGACUUUCCUCAUUACAUCCCGGCCAAGCUAUAGCUAAAAACUAAUUCACUUCUUUUGAUAGUGUCAUCAAAGAGAAUGAAAAGAGAGAUAGAUUGAUGUUUGAAUUUAUAAUUUAAUAAUGUAUUUUUCCCAUCCAACUUUAAAAUCGAAAAUUUCCAUUUGAGUAAAAGAAAAUUGCAUAUGGGAAUUCAGUGAUGACUAUUUAAAUAUUUAUUUUUAUAUACAUACCAUAUAUACUUCUCUACUGUUUGGUUAGCACCCUUAGUCAUUUAUUUGGAUUUGAGUCCUGUAAGAGUGACGUGUGUGAUAAGCAAGAGUUUACCAUUGAUUUAGGAGAAUAAAAAUUUACCAUUUGCGCUUUUGGACUUGGAAAGUUUUCGUAGAGAGAUUUAAAAUAACGUGAAUUGUAAUUCGUUUCCAUGAAAGACUUAAAGCUUUCCAGAGGAUAAGGAAUUAACCCGAUACAUCGAUCAACUAUGGAGUCUAUAAUUCAAACAUUUGUGAAUGCAUUUUGAAUUAUUACAAAACCUUAAAAUAGAAAAUUACAUUUGGAGAUCAACACACACAUACAUAUUCUCCAUAAACACUGACAAUAGACUAAAAGAGAAGGUGUUCAACGGGCACUUCUUCUGGGAUUGCUUCGAGGGAACAUUUCCAUGAACCAAUCGUGUUUAUGUGUAAAGAAGAUAUGUCCAAUCACAAAUCCGCAGAACACACCAGGUCCAUAGGCUAUGGCCGCUGCUAUCCAACUAAUCACUUGUUGUUCUUCUGGCUCCAACAAAUCCUCGGUUUCUUGUGGUUUAGGAUUCAGGACAUGAGUUUGUCCGCAUAUAUCUUCGAGACCGUAGAGUUUGGGGUUGUCCAUGAAUGCUGAACAAUUUUGCCUUUGAAACUGUGUGCCUUUUGGUAUUGGACCUUCGAAAUUGUUAUGUGAGAAGUUCAUGGUCGACAGAAAGGAGAGGCUUCCAAGAUCUGGAGGAAUCUGACCUGACAGCUGAUUCCGAGAUAGGUCUAGUGCCUCGAGCUUUGUCAGUUUUGUCAAUGAUUGAGGUAUAUUGCUUGCGAACGCGUUACCUGACAAGUUGAGAAGAUGCAAUUCCCUCAACAACCCAAUGGAUUUUGGAAUUUCUCCAAAAAUAUUGUUUCCCGAAAAGUCAAUAGCUCUAAAGUCUUUUCUGAUUAGGUCAAAUUUCGUAUCAACACCUUUAUUCACCAUUUCCAUCGAAAGACGGUAGAAAUCACCAAAUCCGGGAUCUCCCAUGUACAUGCUACCAUCUUCUUCGGAUGAUAUGGUCAUUUCACGCCAGGUCCAGAAAUAGAAAGGUGGCAAAGUUCCAGUGAAGUCAUUAUGUGAUAUAUCAAUGACUUUUAAACUUUGAAACCCAAUGGACACAUGAGGAUCAUACACCGGCCCGUAGAACUUGUUUGAUCGUAGGAUCAAGACAUGUAAUGACGUCAUAGAACUCAACCAAGAUGGAAACUUGUCCUUGAAUCUGUUGCCUUUGACAUUCAAAAGUUGCAAAGAUUCACAGUUGAUCAAUGAUUCUGGAAGCUUUCCCUCCAACUUGUUGCCGCUAACGUCAACUAGAGCUAGCUUGGUAGCAUUGGCAAAUAUCUCUGAAGGAAUAAUUCCACUGAAAUCAUUGUUCCGCAAACUUAGCUCUCUGAGACCAACAAGAGUGUUCUUAAAACAUUGAGGGAUGGAGCCGUUGAAGCUAUUGUUAGACAAAUCCAAGAGAUCUAACGGUCUAAGCUUGCAGAUCCAAGAAGGUAAUGGUCCUCGAAAAGAAUUUGAACUAAGACCCAACCACUCGAUAUAACUUAGAUCGGAAACUUCAAAUGAUUUUGCAAAACUGUUGAAAGAAUUGCGAGAAAGCAUCAAUGUCGACACGCCCGCUAACCAACCGGGAAUCUCACCUUCCAACUUAUUGUCGGAAAGAUCAAGAAACUCGAGUUUAACUAAAUUUGAUCUAGGGAUUGGUCCAGUAAAAUCGUUGUGGCUAAGAUCAAGCAUAACCAUAUUGACUAACUUUGGUAUAAAUGUGGAGAUUGACCCAGUGAAGUUAUUGCCACUAAGAUAUAAACUUUCAAGAUUGGGAAAUUUUGAUAUGGAUUUGGGAAUAGGGCCAUAGAAUUUGUUUUGAGAAAGGUAUAGAGACUGAAGCUUAGAGGAAGAAGAUGUGUUACUGAACUCUAUAGGUCCUUUGAACUGGUUUCCGCUCAAAGUAACCCAUGUUAACGAAGGAAUCAUGAACAAAGAUGUAGGAAAAGGCCCGGAAAAUGAGUUUCCACCCUCAUCAAAAUACUCCAAGUUGUGGAAUCUACUCAUGUCACGUGGAAGCGUGGAUUCAAAAUGAUUAUUGGCAAUGUUUAAGACGGACAAACUGGUUAAAUUUUCUAGUAUAAGAGGGAAAUCCACACACGUGAACUGGUUGCCUGAGAUGUAUAAAUGGGACAGUUUCGUUAAGUUGGCAAAUGAAACAGGAAUAUUCCCACUGAGUUUGUUAUUGCUAAGGCUUAGGUAUCUUAGUUGGGUUAGGUUUCCGACUAAAGCCAUAACUUCACCAACUAAAUCAUUAUCCGAAAGGUCAAGAUGUGUGAGAUGGGAAAGGUUUCCUAAUGAAGAAGGAAUCUCUCCGUAGAGAUUGCAACCUACAAGACUUAGGUAACGAAGAUGAUGGAGUUUGAAAAGACCACUAUUUGGUUUCAAAGAGUUGUUGAGAGAGGUGAAACUAAGGUCAAGUGAAAUCACCUUGCCAGAUUUAGCAUCGCACUUGACACCCUCCCAAAAACAGCAAUCACUAGUCUUGUUCCAUGAACUUAAAGAUGGACUUGAGUUGGAUUUAUUUACCGGUAACUCGUGUUUGAAUUCCAGAAGAGCAUCUCUCUGGCCAUGACCGCAAAAUUGGAGCAAAGGAGAAGCAAGAGUGUGUAGGAAGAGGGAAACCAAGAAGAAGAAAUACAAGGUAACAAUACCAGACAAGCAAUAAGAUUGUCUUGGAAUUAUCAUCAUUUCUCUUUCUUUUUUUCCCUCUUUCUUUUAUGUAUUUGUGGAAGUGAUAGGUUUUUAUGAUUAUUGCUUAUGCGGCUAUUUAUAAGAAAAUAAAAAAAACAAAAAAUUCUAUUUGUCCUUAUAUUGGCAAGUCUUGCCUUAUGCAGUGAUUUAUUAAAAAAAAAAACAAAAAAACUCAAUUUGCUUUGACUUUGGUUAGUGGAUUCCGUGACGUGUUUAAAGCAUUGGCUGUUGGGGCGCUUCACAUGUCUUUGUAAGUUCAUUCAACACACACUCUUUAGCUCUUGUAAUUUCCCCUCUCUUUCGUUUUCAAAUCGAUCCCUUAAUUACACCAACCGGAGUCAACCAUUAUCGCAUAGUUCAAUUAAUUAAAAUUGUGGCGGCUCUUUUUCUUCUAGAAAAAGAGGAGGUGAAGAACCAGUUUUUCAAGUGAUUAAGUCAAGAACAAAUUCUGUUUAUAAAGAAUAACUCUCUUUAUUAUGUUUAGAAAAUUUCUCAAAACUAAAUACCAAAAUAUGUAUCUCUCAUUGAUGCAACUUCAUCAAUGACUUACAUAUAUAUAGUGUUAGGACAACUUCCCUAAACACCUUUUCCUUUUUCUAUUAGAACUAGAUAACUCUUAAUCUAAUAAGGAAAUAUUCCAAAACCCUAUCUAAUUAACUUAACCGACUUGUUAAGCAAUAUAGGCUUUGGCCUUGAUGUCGAUGCUUACUCAACAUUCUCCCUCUUAAGCUUCGACUUGAUCUUGGACAUGUCUUGAACUCCUAUUAAGCUUCUCAUUUCGUUGAACUUGAUCUUCGCCAGAGCCUUAGUAAGAAUGUCGGCCUUCUGCUCAACUCCCGGCACAUGCUCCACAUCGACUAACUCCUUCUCAAUGCACUCUCGUAUAAAAUGGUAGCGUUUAUGAAUAUGCUUGCUCUUACCAUGAAAUACUGGGUUCUUGGUGAGCGCCAUUGCUGACUUGUUGUCGACCUUGAUGACAAUAUGCUCAGUCUUCCACCCUGUGAUCUCGCUCAAAAGUUCUUGAAGCCAAAUAGCUUGUUUAGCCGCCUCUGUUGCUGCCAUGAACUCAGCUUCGCACGAAGACAGAGCCAUUGUGUCCUGCUUCUGCGAACACCAAGUGAUUGGUGAGGAACCAAAGUAGAAAAUAUGUCCGGUGGUGCUUCUUCCAUCAUCUGGAUCCACAUUGUGACUGCUGUCACUAAAACCAACGAUCUUCUUUGGUACCGUAGACUUCAAGCCAAACGUGACUGUCCCUUUAAGAUACCGUAGAAUGGGCUUCAUGAUGUUGCCAUGCGACUUGCGAGGACUCUGCAUAUACCUGCUAGCAACUCCAACAGAAAAAGCCAAGUCUGGUCGCGUGUGUAACAGAUACCUUAAGCACCCUACAUUCCUUCUAUAACACGUAGGAUCGAUCUCUUCUUCUUCUUGAGCCUUUGAAACCUUUAAUCCGAAUUCCAUUGGUAUUAAAGUCGGAUUGCAGGUCUCUAAGCCCGCCUCUGCUAAGAUCCUUCGUGCAUAGCCUUCUUGCUUGAUUUUGAUUCCAUCCUUCCCUUGAUGAACCUCGAUGCCAAGGUAAUAAGUCAGCAUUCCAAGGUCUGACAUCUCGAACUUAGUUGCCAUUCCUGUCUUGAAUUCACUUAUAACCUUCAGAGUGUUGCCUGUGACAAACAAAUCAUCCACAUAUAUAGCAACAAUCAAUAAUGAUCCUCCCUCUUCUCUGCGAUACACUGAACUUUCCUUGGAGUAUCUUAUGAACUUCAUUCCUUUCAGGAUUUGAUCUAACUUCGUGUUCCAAGCUCGAGGAGCUUACCUUAGACCGUAUAAAGCUUUUGAAAGCUUGUAUACCUUCUGUUCUUGCCCUUUUAUCUCAAAUCCUUCAGGCUGUUCAACAUAGACGUCUUCUUUUAAUUCUCCAUGUAAGAAUGUUGUCUUCACGUCUAAGUGAUGAAUCUCUCAUCCAUGUGAUGCUGCCAAUACUAUCAACAGUCUUAUGGUUUCUAAUCUUGCAACUGGUGCAAAUACCUCAUCAAAAUCGAUGCCUGAUUCUUGUACAUAUCCUUUAGCCACAAGUCUCGCCUUAUACUUGUAGAUAGUACCAUCUGCAUUCUUCUUGAUCUUAAAAACCCACUUGAGACCAAUGAUCUUUGCCUCCCUUGGUUUGUCGAUUAAAAACCAUGUCUUGUUUUUGUUGAUAGACUCUAUCUCCUCUCUACAUGCUUGCCUCCACUUUAAUGAACCUUUCGCGUCCUUAAAGUUCCUUGGCUCAUCAUCUAUUGAGAGUAGCAGUCUCUCACACUCAAUCGCUGCUUGUAAGACAUAGUCAUCCAGAUACCCUGGCUUGCGUAUCGGACGAGAUGAUCUUCGAAGCGGCUGCUCUGUAUCAGCUUCGUUAGGUGGAUCUUCUUCUGCAUUAUGAUCUGCUUCAGGUUCGUUGGUGUCGCUCGACACUGCUGAUGGUGUCGCUCGACACUCUUGUUCAUUAGUGUCGCUCGACACUGCUGUUGGUGUCGCUUGACGCUCUUCAAUUCCUUUACCUUCAGCAUCAUAACCGAUUACUGCAGGUCCUUCUCCUGCAUCAAUAACUUCACCACAUCUCAUCUGAAACAUCCCUGGAUCCUUUCCUGAUCCGUCUCUUGGCUUGUUCCAGUUCCAGCUUGCCUUUUCAUCGAAAACCACAUCUCGGCUCACUACAAUUCUCCUUGUCUCUGGAUUAUAGAGUCUGUACGCCUUAGAUCCUGGCUCAAUCCCAAGGUGUACGAGCAUCUGUGACCUAUCAUCCAACUUCUUAAGAUUUGCAGCUUCCACCUUUGAGUAUGCAAGACACCCAAAUACUCGUAGAUGCCCUAAACUUGGUUUCUUCUCUCGCAAGCAUUCAUAAGGAGUCAUGUUCUUAAGAGCUCUUGUAGGUACUCUGUUGAUUACAUAUGUGGCGUGUCGAACUGCUUCUCCCCACAAGUAGUUAGGUACCUUCAUAGCCUUAAGACUGAUCCUAGUCAUCUCCAUUAGGGUUCGGUUUCUCCUCUCUACAACACCGUUUUGUUGUGGUGUGUAGGGAGCUGUGAGAUGCCUCUUGAUCCCCUUUGAUUCGCAGAACUCAUAGAACUCCCUUGAGGUAAACUCUCCUCCUCUGUCUGUUCUAAGAGUCAAUACUGCUCUUCCAAGCUCCUUUUAAACUAGCUCCUUGAACACCUUGAACUUCCCAAACGCCUCACUCUUCUCCUUUAACAAGAUCGACCACAUGUAUCUUGUAAAGUCAUCUAUGAUAACAAAUAUGUAUUUGUUACCUGCGAUGGUUGGUGGCGAAAUCGGACCACACAGAUCUGCGUGUAGAAGUUCCAAUGAUCUUGAAGCUCUGAACAUUGUUGUCUUAGGGAAACCUUGUCGAGUCUGUUUUCCGACUAAACAUGACUCACACAAUCCUUUUUCAUCUCGAAUCUCUGGUAGAUCAUAGGCCAUCUCCUGUUGUGACAUAGCUUUCAUGGUCUUAAAGCUUAUAUGUCCCAACCUUGCAUGCCAUCUCCAAGUCUCAUCCUCUAUCCUUGUGUUUAGACAUAUCGGCUUUCCAAUCUUCAGGUUGACUUUGUAAAGUCUGUUGGGCGACCGUAUGACCUUCACCAAGAGUCUUUCACUUGGGUCAUGGAGAGUCAAGUAAUCCUGCCUCAUUCUAACAUCACAUCCGGCUUCAGUAGCUUGCCCCAGACUCAGAAUAUUGCUCUUCAGUUCGGGUAUAUAGUAGAUAUCUGAUACGAGUUUCUGCUCAUCUGUUUUGCUUUGAAACAGAAUCGAUCCUUUUCCAGCUAUUCCCACGCACGAGCCAUCUCCAAACUUCACUUUGCUCCUUAUGUUUUCGUUGAGCUCAGAGAAGAAUGCCUUGUUGCCCGUCAUGUGAUUACUUGCUCCAUUAUCUAGAUACCAAAGUCCUUCUUCACCUCCUUUGUUUUCAUAGUUCUUUGGUAUUAGAUUCUCCUCAUUCAAAAACACCAGCUCAUGCAUAUAAAGUGCUUCAUCAGCUUCUUCUGUCUCCACUUUAUUUGCCUCCUGUGUCUUUUGUGGUCGAUCAGGACAGGAAGAUGCAAAGUGUCCAGCUUUAUCACAUCGAUAACAAAUCACCUUGGACCGAUCCUUCUUGUCUUUUGGUUGGUUCUGAUUUGUUGAUCGAUCUUGAGAGCUAGACCCUCCUCUGCCUCGUCCUCUGUUUCCUCUGCCUCCUCUGCCACGUCAUCUCCCUCUCGAAAUGGAACUACUUUGCUCCGAGUUUGCGUAUAGCAGCUUCCCUUGCGUAUCUCCUUGAUUCUCCUCAUCGCGAAUCCUUUCCUCAUACGCCUUAAGCCUUCCUACUAUAUCUUCGUAACUCGUCGUCUUUAGAUCCAACACUUGCUCGAGAGAGGCGAUGAUGUGAAUGAACUUGCUCCUUGGCAAACUGUUGAGAAACUUCGUCACAAGCUUCGAUUCAUCGAUGGUUUGCCCUAGAGAAGCCGAUUUUGAGGCUAGCUCAUAUAACUUCCCUGCGAAGUCAUCUAUCUUGUCCGACUCGUUCAUCUUGAUCCUCUCGAAAUCGGACAUUAGGGUUUGAAGCCUUGCUUCCUUGACACGAUCAGCUCCUAGGUUGCGUGAUUUGAUCGCAUCCCAUAUCCCUUUAGGAGAUCCUUGUUCGCCGACUUGCAAAAUAAGAACUUCCGGGAUAGAUUGAAAGAGAAGCCAUGUUGCGAUAUCAUUCUUGUUGGAAUCGGUUGAACCAGGUUCGAUCGUCUCCCACACCUUAUGGAUUCGCAGUAGAACUCUCAUCCUCAUAGCCCACACCGUGUAAUUUGUCGCGGUUAACAUAGGACAUUGGAUCGCAGAAGGAACGCUCUCCUUCGCGUUAGGGUUAGGGUUUGCAACGAUAUCUCCCAUGCUUGGAUAUAUCGCAGGUCUCAAGCUUCGCCUUAAGCUCUGAUACAAAUUCAAGUGAUUAAGUCAAGAACAAACUCUGUUUAUAAAGAAUAACUCUCUUUAUUAUGUUUAGAAAAUAUCUCAAAACUAAACACCAAAGUAUGUAUCUCUCAUUGAUGCAACUUCAUCAAUGACUUACAUAUAUAUAGUGUUAGGACAAUUUUCCUAAACAUCUUUUCCUUUUUCUAUUAGAACUAGAUAACUCCUAAUCUAAUAAGGAAAUAUUCCAAAACUCUAUUUAAUUAACUUAACCGACUUGUUAAGCAAUAUGGGCUUUGGUCUUAAUGUCGAUGCUUACUCAACAGUUUUGCUUGGAAUCAUCAUCAUUACCCUUUCUGUUUUUCCUCCUUUCUUUUAUGUAUUUGUGGAAGUGAUAGGCAAAGGAAAGCAAAAAACUCAAUUUGUCUUGACUUUGGCAAGUCUUGCCCUAUGCAGCUACUUAUUAAAAAAAAAAAACUUAAUUUACCUUGACUUUGGUAAGUCUUGCCUCUAACUCGACGGAUUCCGUUGGUUUUUCUUGACGGAGAGGGGUUCCCCGUUAAACCGUCGUCACACAUCUUUAGUUUUUGUAAUUUUCCCCUCUCUUUGUCUUCAAUUCGAUCCCUUAACUUCCAAUUCAACUAAAAUAACUCUGAUCACAUUUCCAUGAAUUUCAACCUUUUCAUAUUUUGUGCCCCAAACUUUUGAUUUUAUUUCAAACUAAACGCAUAUUAUCGGCCUCUGCUUCUUUAUUUAGUUUUUUCUUUUUGUUUAAUGUGGGUUUCCUUUGCAUUUGAGCACUCUCGCUGGUCAAAUCCACACGACACCUUUGUUUACACUCUUUUGAUCCGAAGUCAUCCUUUCCUUAUACUUUCCAAUUCUACAUGAAUAACCCUGAUGCCUCUCCCAGACUUUUAUCACUUAUUCACAUUGUGUCUAAAACUUUUUAACUUAUCAAAAUGAACCCAAGCAAAUGACCAUAUCUCAAUGCUGCAUAUGAGUAUUCUCACCCGAUUAUAUGAUAAUCCACAGGGCAUGUAACUGAUUACUUGUUUGUUAAGGUCGGGAGGCCAGAGCCCGAGCUUGUUCUCGCUUGCAGUGAGGAAGAUGCUGCAAAUGCUAAGAGACGAGUUUGAGCUGACAAUGGCACUAAGUGGCUGCCGUUCGCUGAGAGAGAUCAGUCGAAACCACAUCAAGACCGAUUAAGAUUUUCCUCAUUACAUCCCGGCCAAGCUAUAGCUAAAAACUUAUUCACUUCUUUUGAUUGUCAUAGAGAAUGAAAAGAGAGAUAGAUGGAUGUUUGAAUUUAUUAUUUAAUAAUGUAUUUUUCCCAUUUAACUUUAAAAUCGAAAAUUUCCAUUUGAGUAAAAGAAAAUUGCAUAUGGGAAUUCAGUUAUACUAUUUAAAUACUAAAGUCAAAAGUCUUAUUUACUUUUUACCGUUUUAAAAAUAUGCAUAAUACAAUAUUUCUAGUAUCUUACUCUCCUACUGUUUGGUUGGUUAAUAGAAUUUAAUGUUAUAUGUUUUUUUUGCGAUUUUGUUUACGUGUUUGUGUUUUUUUUUUUUUUUUGUUUACGUGUAAAAAGUGCGUAUUAUCUUACGAGAAGACAUUUUACAAAUUCUAGAUGCAAAGUGUACGUAUACAUAUAAAUUAAACAAUAAAUACAAAAAAGUUUGAUGAUAUAACUAAAUGGUUCGUAGUAAUCUGCAUAUACUCGUAGGAAGUAUGGAAGCUGGUCCUAUGUAGAUUUGAAUUACCAAAUUUCGUCAUCAUGAAAUGGGAAACUCUCAUUAACUGGCUAUCUAAUUUAUCUCAAGACGCAUCCAAAACGUUAAAGUUUGGUGACACCGGGCCCGGUUCUUGCCAUGUGCAAGAAAUGCAAAUACACUGGAUCCACACAUUUUUUUGGGAAGUGGGUUUUUAUAUUUAGGGCUUUAAUACUAAAUUUGCUUAAGAGCAUCCACAACGCAGAGAUACCUUUUGAUCUCUUAUUUAUUUUGUUUAAUAUUAAAAGUGUCACGUGUCUAAGAAGAAACGUUUCUACCAGUCCUCAUUUAAGAAACAUCUUCAGCCUUUUUCUCUUCUACAUUCAUUUUUUUAAUCAAAAAAAUUAUUAGAAACUCUUGUGGAGACUGCGUUGCGGAUGGUCAUUAUAUACCUACAAGAUUAGAACUGGAGUAUAUAUUUUAAAAUUGCACAGGGUCUAUCAUUAAAAUGAGUCGAACCUGGGUGACACAAGCAACAAGCUUUUUACCUAAAGUUAAGGAACGAAAGGCUACACAACAGCUACUCCACAGCGGCUUUAGCUCUAUUUAAACUUAUCUACCACAAGAUAAGAGGAGCACACUUAUUGCACGCCGGUCCUUGAAAUAUAUAUUCACAUAUUAUCCCAAAAAAAUCUGAUGUAAAUAGAGUAUAUACUCAAAAUUGUAUUUUAGAGACAAUCACAAUACUUCAUACCAGUACUUAUAACAUAAGGUUUCUAUAAAGAUAUCUAUAUAAUCGCCAAGAUUUUAUCUUCUAAAUAUAAUAUUUGAUAAUAUCACAUUAAUUUUUUGUUACUUUCAUUUAGUAUAGCAACAUAUUGUAUAGAAUUCAAAGAAGUUUAAGAACACAGAUUUGUAAAAGAAUAAUUCUCUUUUAUUAACCUUUAGAAAAAUCACUAAAAACUAAAAGCUCUCAAAUCUUUCUCUGUGAACUCAUAAGUGUUUGCAACAACUCUGCAACUCCUUAUAUAGAGAAUGGAUUAGCUAACUCCUAAUUCAAAUAGAUAAACAAAUUUCCUUUUAGAUAACUCCUAAAUUUCUUUUUAGAUAACUCCUAAAUUUCUUUUUCUAAUCCUAACCUUCUAGAAACACACUUUGAUUAGGAUUAGGAAACUUGCACUUCAAGUUUCUUUCAAGCUUAUUCCAACAAUCUCCCCCUUAAGCUUGAAAUCUUCCUUAGAGAAAUCUUCAACACCAAAAUUGAGAGUUCCACGCAAAUUCCUCAAAACCUGCUUCAAUGCUGCUCCAUGCGACUCCUCCAUGAUUACUUUAUAUAAACAAUUCUUUGAUCUGUUUGCCUUCAUAAGGAGUCUUCCAUCUUGAUCAUGUAAUAUCAGUUAAUCUCCUCUCAUCCGAACAUCACAUCCAGCCUUUGUUGCUUGUCCCAAACUGAUAAUAUUACUCUUUAAAUCUGGUAUGAAAUAGACAUUAGCAAGCACUUUUUUCCCUCCAUCUUUACUGACAAAGAGGAUCGAUCCUUUCCCCUUUAUGUCUAUCUGAGAGUCAUCGCCGAAUCUUACUUCUCUUGUGACCGUCUCGUCAAUCUUUGAAAAGUAAUUUCAGUUUCCAGUCAUAUGGUUACUAGCACCAUUAUCCAAAUACCAAACAUUGUCUCCUUCACGGUUUUUUUCAAAUUCGUUUGGCUUCACCCUUUUCUCAUUCAGAUACACCACCUCGUGCAUCAUGAGUCGUUCAGCUUCAUGUGUGUCAUCAACGUCGUCGUCUUCCUGAGUCUCUUGAAGUUUGAGAAGUCUGUCAGGGCAAUUAGAAGCGUAAUGCCCUGUUUUGUCGCAUCGAUAGCAUGUUAUCUCUGACAAAUCUCUGGAUCCAUUGAAUCGUCCACGACCUCGUCCUCUACUAUAGAAGCGUCCUCCUCGACCUCUGCCUCUAUUCUCUCCACUGUAGUCACGAUUUUCCUGAGGUUUCAUGUUUGCAUACAUGAGCUUGCUUUGAUCAUCUUGCGUUUCUUCUUCUUCUUCUUCUCGAAUACGUUCUUCGUAGGCUUUUAGUCUUCCGACUAUGUCUUCGAAGCUUGUGGUGUUCAAGUCUAACACCUGCUCAAGUGAAGCAACCAUGUGUAUAUAUUUCUUUCUCGGAAGACUUUUGAGAAACUUCUUGACAAUCUUCGGUUCCUCAAUAGUCGUUCCUAAAGCAGCCGACCUUGAGCAGAUUUCGGACAAUUUUCCACUAAAAUCAUCUAUCGUCUCUGUGUCCUUCAUCUUGAUGUUGUCAAACUCGGCCAUUAGAGUCUGCAACCUUGCCUCUCGCACCAUUUCUGCUCCUACAUGUCUUGAUUUGAUUGCAUCCCAUACCUUUUUCGCCGUGUCUAACUUUUCUACCUGUAGAAUGAGCGUCUCAGGUACUGAUUGAAAGAUCAGGGCCAUAGCAACAUCGUUCUUCUCACCAUCGGCCGCCUCUGUUUCAACAGUCUCCCAGACCUUGUGUACUCUGAGCAAAACCCUCAUCCGCAUGGCCCAUACGGUAUAGUUAGUUGAGUUUAACAUAGGCGAUGGAUUGAGGAAGUAUUCAGUGCUUUUGUACGAGUACUAGGAACGAUAUCCCCCCAUAUCUUGAGCAACAACCUGAAGCUCUGCUACCAAUUAUAGAAUUCAAAGAAGUUUAAGAACACAGAUUUGUAAAAGAAUAACUCUCUUUUAUUAACCUUUAGAAAAAUCACUCAAAAAUUAAAGGCUCUCAAAUCUCUCUCUCUCAACUCAUAAGUGUUUGCAACAACUCUGCAACUCCUUAUAUAGAGAAUGAAUUAGCUAACUCCUAAUUCCAAUAGAUAAACAAAUUUCCUUUUAGUAGGGCUGGGCAUAUUAACCGGACCCGAAAACCCGCCCCGGAACCGACCCGAUAAACAUGGUUCGGAUCGAAUUGUUUUGUCGACCCGUGGGUAACGGUUUGGAUCCGGUUAUAUAGUUAGACCCGAUAGUGUACCCGAAGUUUCCUCUUUUGAUUCGAUUUUCCCCAAAUUUCUCUCGAUUUUCUCUGCAUUUUCCAAAUUCAAUCCAUCCGAGAAUAUUGCUGAAUCUUCCCACCUCACCGACGAUCUCGCAACACAAUCUACUUCCCAAUAUCAUCUCGAUCGAUUGAAUUAUAAAAGCAAACCCUAUUUCCAAGCCCCAACUACAAAACUGGAAUCCCUAGCUGCCUUCUCUUCGCAAUAUCCAUCUCCUUCAACUGCAUCGUCGAGAAAUAACUCUGAGGUAAAUCUCCUUCAAUUGAUUCACGUUUCAGUCGUCUCUUUCUGUGUGAGGUUGGUGUUCUUUCACGUUUUUGGCUUGAUGUUUUGCUAACUUGUCGACUGAAUGUGAUCAUUUGAGGUUUUGUUAACUUGUAUGAAUGUCAACCGCUGAUAUUAUUGCACAAACAUAUAUAGCAGAUGAUAGACACUUCUAAAUGAACUUAAGAACUCAAGUAAGUUGAUGUUGGUUUUGUUUGGUGAUUGCUUCAUUGUGUUCUGUUCUAUGAUACAUUAGUGAUAUAGUUACUUAGCUGAACUGCUGAAGCUUUAGAGAUUGAUCUGUUGAAGUUGAACUUUGAAACUUGUAUGAAAUUUCAGUUAAAACGUUUAUUGAUUUAUUGUUCUAAACUUUCGUAGAUGGCCUCUUCUGAAAACCCACCGAGCACUGAUAUUCCAAUGCAUGAUAUUGACGAUGUCCUUGAUGACACAGAUGAAGAUGUUGAAACUCCUUGUACUCGGAAGACAGGCAAGAGGAAAGAGUCUGCUUCUAAAUGUUCUGGUUCUAAGGGUACAAAGAAGACAAGAUCGAAGAUGUGGGAACACUACACCAGGCAGAAGAACAAUUAUGAUAAAUGUAAUUGUAACUACUGUGGCCGUGAAAUGUCAUGUCCAACCAAGUCAGGGACUUCUAGUCUGAAGAAGCACAUCGUUUUUGGUCGCAAGUCAUACCGAGCAUGGAAGGCUGCAAACAAAGACAUGAACCAGACAGUGUUAUCUCCUACCGGUGAAGAUGGGAAGCUGGGUUUAAGUAAAGUCUAUGAACUUGUCUUUAGAGAGGCUUCAUCUGAGAUGCUUGUUUUAGGGGAGUUGCCAUUAGCGUUCAUAGAGAGUGUUGCUUGGAGGCAUUUCACUUUGAAAUGUAAACUGCACACUCCUCAGUCCCGGAGAACAGCUACAAGAGAUAUUGUGGCAAUGUAUGUUGCACGAAAGGAGAAAAUGAAGAAGAUUCUUUGGGAGAACAAGCAGAGACUAUCGCUGACAACAGAUAUAUGGACUGAUCCAUAUACUAGUACGAGUUACAUGGUGGUUACAGCCCAUUUUAUUGAUGCAUCUUGGAGAUUAAGGAAUAUGAUCAUAGGGUUCAAGAACGUUUCUGAUCAUACAGGAUCAACGAUUUGCAAUGUUCUGCUGGAGGUUUUGGCUGAGUGGGAGAUUAAAAGAGUGUUUACAAUUACUGUGGACAAUGCAACAGCUAACAGAUCGGCAAUGAGGAGAUUCAAGGAAGCAUUUAUGCAACAAGGCGAUGAUGCAUUGGUUCUUAACGGUAAGUACCUGCAUCUAAGGUGUGCAACACAUAUUUUGAACCUUAUCGUGAAGGAUGGUUUGGAAGAAGAAGAUGAUAGUAUUGUUGCUAUUAUGAAUGCAAUUCAUUAUGUCCGAUCUUCUACAAACAGAGUUAAGUUUUUUGAGUUUCAAGUAGAGACAGGAAAGAUGACUAGAGGAAGCUUGCCUUUAGACGUGAAGACCAGAUGGAAUUCUACUUGUCUCAUGCUGGAACAGGCUUUAAAGUUCAGGUUGGCUUUUGAGAUGAUGGAGGCUGAAGACAAACCUUAUGGUUACCACUUUCUGGAACAAGAGAAGGAAAAAAAAACGGAUUGGACCACCAACUACAAGCAAUUGGGAUAAAGUUGACAGGUUGGUCCAAUUCCUUGUUAUUUUCUACAAAUCUACUUUGAUUCUAUUAGCUUCUACAUCUGUGGCUGCACACAAAGUUUAUAAUGAAAUAGUCACUAUCACGUCAAACAUUAGUGCUAUUAGUACUUCUCCUGUAGCCGAUGAGUCUUUAAAGAGUAAAGCUUUAGCUAUGAUUGGUAAACUAGAGAAGUAUUGAGAUCCUUUUAGGGAGAAGAAUGAAAUGAAUAGGCUUGUGAUAGUGGCUAGUGUUUUUGAUCCACGAAAGAAGAUGAAGUUUGCCCAACUCUGUUUCGAGUCUCUAUAUGGAAAGAAUAGUCACGCAGCUAACCAGAUUUAUGAUUCUAUAGAGGACAUUUUGAAGAGUUUGUUUGCUGAGUACAGUAGCUUAGUAGACAGGAAUAGUUCUAGUGGAUCACAGGGACCAUAUUCUUCUCAGUCCCAAGGGACAUUUUUGCAGUCUCAAGAGCAAAAUGGAGGUGAUGUUUUUGAAAGAGGUCUUCUGAGUCAUGGUGUUGGGUAUAAACGCAUGGACAGCAUUUACGAUGAGCUUGUAGAAGAAACAGGAGUUGGCGAUUCAACAAAUGAGCUAGAGAUCUAUCUGAAAGAGGCUGUUGACAAACCAAAAGUGAUGAAGGGAACAGAGUAUGAUAUCUUAGGUUGGUGGAUGAGAAAUAAUGGCAAGUUCCCUGUUCUUUCACUGAUUGCGAAAGACAUACUUGCAAUGCAAGUGUCAUCAGUUGCCUCUGAAUCUGUAUUUAGCACAAGUGGGAGAGUGUUAAGCCCAUACCGAAGUUGUUUGACCCACUAUAUGGUUGAGGUGUUGAUGUGUACUGAACAGUGGUUAAAAACUGAGAUUCAUAUCAAUGAAAGAGGAGUCUCAACUUGUGAACAAUUGCUUGCAGAUGUGGAGCUUAAUGAUGAACUCAUGAGGCGUAAGUUACAUCUUUUUUAUUUAUCUCUUUGUCUUUGAUUAUCAGUUUCGGCUUAUAACAUCAUUAUUCUUUCUUUUUUUUUUUAUGUAGAAAACGAUCCUGAAGUCAACAUACAAAGAGGCUGAGGCUGCUGAUGUCGUGUUUGUGUCUUUGUGAACUUGGAAAACAAAAGGUAAGGUGGUAAACAUUGCAUAUUGAUAAGUGAUGACUGCAUUUGGGAAUAGGUGAAUAGCUCAUGCUUGCGUUUUUGUAAAUUUGUGGCCAUUUGUUUACUGAUUUGUAUCUUUGUGUCUUUGUAUAUGUCGUAGGUGUUCACGCUCAAGUCUUGAAGCUCAACUUUUCAAGUGCCAAGAUAUGAAUACGACCCAAAGACUCUUCCAAUGCCUAGCGAUCUCUACUUUUUAGGAUUUUAAGUUCUUAUGUUUUAGGAUUUUGAUUUGGUUUUAUGAUUUGUUCGAGUUUUAAAAUUUUAUUCAGUACUACGUUUCAGUUAUGCACUUUUAACUAUUGAGAACUUCAAAUUUUUAAGCAGUUUCGGUUUUUUUAAAAAAAAAUUUCGGGUUUAAUAGCUAAUUUCGGUUUAAUUUUCGGUUCGGGUCCAACAAAAAACCGAUCCGAACUGUUAUCCAUGAUUUUCGGUUAUAAUUCGGUUCUAAUAAUUUAAGCCCGAACCGACUCGUACCCAGUCAGAACCGAUCCAAAACCGAACCAAAAUUUAUCGGUUCUCAAAUGGGUCCAAAAUUUAAUAACCGAAAGAACCGAACCCGAUCGGUUUUGACCCGGAACCGACCCGCCGAACCGAAUGCCUAGGCCUACCUUUUAGAUACCUCCUAAAUUUCCUUUUAGUUAACUCCUAAAUUUCUUUUUAGAUAACUCCUAAAUUUCUUUUUCUAAUCCUAACUUUCUAGAAACACACUUUAAUUAAAAUUAGGAAAUUUGCACUUCAAGUUUCUUUCAAGCUUAUUCCAACAUAUUGCUCCAUUAACCCAAACAUGGUUAUAUAAUUUCAUUUACUACAUAAAUAGAAUAACAAUGCUGCCGUCAAGCCUAACAUAUAUAGUUAGUUCAGCUCGUUAGAUGAUUUUCACAACUGUAGUCUGAUGCAGAGCCGUGCCUCCUUUAGUGAAAAAAAGGCAUUGGCCUUAGGCCACAUCUAUAAUUUCAGUUUUUAGGCCACAUAUCAAUAAUAAUAUUAAUUAAGUUAGUGAAAGAUUUGUUGUUAGAGUGUUUUGUAAUAGUAAUUUUAACUUUCAAAUCAUAAUUAAUCUGUUAUUUUUUUACUAUAAUCUAAUUAAUUUAACUUUCUUUAUCUACAUAUUUUCUAUUAUUCUAUCAUUUAAUAUGUUUUAAUAAGUAUUUGAUACUUUAACAUAUUUUUAAAUGAUAAACUCAUUAAAUUGUCUUAUAUAUUUAUUUUAUAUAUAAUUUUACAUUUCAGUAAUAUAAUUUUUACAAUUUGAUUUAUUUUUAAGUUCUAUAAUUUUUAUAAAAAUUAUACAUUUUUAAAGGGCCACAAUUUUCUAAAUUGUCUUAAGCCUCUAAAUAUGUUAGCACGGCACUGGUCUGAUGUAGUAUCCAAAUUCAAAGAAAUUUAUGAAGUUGUGUAAGAAUCAUAAUCCCUUUUUAGUAGCAAACUCUCGAGAUGUUUCUGUUAAUCUGAUUUGCCCAUUAGGAACUACAUAUGAAACAGAACAGAAUUGAUGAAAUCUAUAUGGGUACCUUCACUCACUGUAUAACUAUUUGUUUUGGAUGACGACUAUCAUACAUAACAAUUUGGUCCAAAUAAUUUGGACGAAAACGAAAAUGUUUCGACGUGGUUGCAUUAACCAUGCAACGUUUGUAAAUACCACGAGGUCCAUGACAUCAUCAUCAUACAUUUAUCUGACAAUUCCACCGAUUGUUUCCAUAUAUGUAGACAUGUACGUACAUAUCGAUUUAUACUCUUUUACAAUAUAUUGACUAUAGUCUAUAUGAUAUGUAGAUAUACAUACAUAUAACGUAUAUGCAUGUAGCUAUACGUUAUAAUUUUAACAAAAAAAGGUAUACAUUCUACAGACGUGGCUUCACUUAAUACCACGAAUUCGUUGCCCAUGAAAUAUAAAUUGAUCGAAAAUCACAAAAUCUAUGGAUUUAGUUCAACAGUCUUUUGCUGGUUUCGAGUGUUUUCUAUAUAUAUACGUACGAUAAAUCUACAUUUGAUUUUAUGAUCGUCAUUUCUACUGUUUCGUCAUAUUGCGCUAGUCAUCUUUCAUAGUAUGGUACAGCUAAGUUUCUAUUUUACUAUACAGAGUCAAUGCAUGAACGCAAAUGUUCCCAGCUAGUUAUAUACUAAAUUACUAACCAUUUAUAUUACAUAAUAUUAGAAAGUAAUUUAAAAUUGUUACGUAAAUAAUUUAAAAUUGUUAUGUAAAUGGCUAUUUUAUAAAUUUUUAUAUUCAUAAACACAACAUCUUACUAACUCCCCUUUUCAUUCAAACUAAUUACUUAAUUAACAUUAAUCUUAGGUAUGGAUCAGUUUAUUAAUUUAUUUUGUAACUAAGUUUUAAUAUUAUAAUCUUUUUUAUAACUGAGUUAUUAUUGUAAAAACCUUGAUUUAUAGAUCUUAUUUCUAACAAUUACGAUUUUUUAUUUUUAUGAAAAAGAGCUCUUACAAUUACUUGAAGAAACUUGUUUUUUUGUGAGAUGUAAAUGGCGGAAUUUUGUUGUCAUCUGUCACUACAUACGAAUUAGAUGUGUACAUAAUUACGUGAAGUAGUUAGCAAAAAAAUAAUUACGUGAAGUAUAUAACAACAGGAUCGCAUCAUUGUUAUGUCAUAUCGCAUAAUAUUAUGAAUCGCAACCAAUGUUUGUAUGAUGAAGAUGCAACUGAGUGUUUUAUCCUCCUUUUUUCUUUCACAUUUCAUGUUAAGCUACGAAAAUAUGUCUCUACGAUGCACGUCCAAAUUAAGUACCAAAAUCACAAUCUAACCAACCAGUCCAAAUUAAGUACCAAAUUGGUGUCUACAUGAUUUUUGGAUUUAAAGGCCCACAAAACUUAAGUUUGUGUGAUCUUAUUCUCUACGCUAAAGAGAGCUGCUCGGGCAGUGAUUUAUUUUUAAGGACGGUCCCUUCCGGCGUUUCUCCGGUUAAAGAAACUUCAGACUUCCUCGUCCGAGCCAAGGUAUUCAUCAUGGAGCAAAUCUCUAAAUCUAAUCGUGUUGGAUUCAUGUUUGUCUUCUCGCUCUGUUCAAAUUUUGGAAGGCAUACUUUUUGUGCGCUAUGGGAUUUGCGGGGACUCAUCUCCUCUGUGUUUCAUCAAGUUGCCUAUCCUCAGUUUUUCAUUGCCGCCCCUCGACCCCCUCGGUUCAGCCACCGGUACCAGCUGUCUCCGCCACCCUGCCAAACUGCUCGUUGUUCAAUCUCCCAAGAGAAUCGAUUGGCCGAGCACAAUCGAUUAUCGAGGCUUCUAAGCCCGUCGUCCUUCUCCACUUUUGGUCUAUCCCUCAGGUUCAAAUCAGUUGUUGGUCUCCUUGGUCUUUCGAUCAGGAUAGCCACAAAUUUGUUAGAGUUGGGGAUAGCGAUUUUAAUAUCUUCCCUCUUUUUGAGAGUGCUAUUUAUACCGAGCUCUUUGCUGGGAAAUCUUAUGAGGUUUUUUACCGAAUUGUCGUCUUGCGUAGCGGUCUGUACGGGACCAGAAGAGGCAAACCGGAUCGCUUCUGCGAACCCCGGAGAUAAGACUUCAGCUUCAACGUCACAUGCCAAAGUGACUAAUCUCAAACAAUCCGGCUUGGCCGUGAAAAUGAUAUUGACGCAUUCAAACUUCGUUAUGAAUUCGCUGUCUUAUUAUCAAGUGCUAUCUUUAUUAAGUUCUAUCGCUUUUGCUUUGUAUUUGAGUUUCAGUGGAGGAUGUUUAAUUUCCUCUUGUUGUUCUAUGUUUGAUUAAGUAAUGAGAAGAAUGAUUGUGACAAAAAAAAAAAACCAACCAUUCGCUACUAACUGGAAAAAAAUUGUUAAUUAGAAUAAUCGAUAACUUCUUAGCCUAUCUAUUUUUUCUAAUUUAUUAAAUAAUUUGAAAGUACAAUAAUUAUUAUAAUUGAUCCACGAGUUCACUCGAAUCCACAAAUGUGCCAUGAAACCCAUACGGUACUCUAGACGGUAGUUUGAUCGUAGCUUCAAGCUUUAAAUUAACGGCGUUAAUAAUCUGAAGCUCCGACAUCUCUUUCUCUUCGUCGUGAACGUGACAGAAUAUGUAACCGUCAUCUUCAUUUUCUCCGCCGUUACCGUUAACGAAGCCACCAGGCAAGAAAAACGGUUCUCCACCGUACUUCUCGCCGCCGUAAAUGUAUUUUUCGAUUACGCCGGUGAAAAGAUCAACCUUGGCGAAACCGGAAACUUUUGGCCAAGGAUCAGCGAUAGCCAGAAACGCGAACCGGGUUUUUCUACCUAACCGGUUUCGGUUAACCAUACCGAUCUCUAAAUUCACCUCUUGAACCAACAUCGCGCGGCGCGUGGCUUCACGCGUCCUGAGGUUUAUCCUGAUCUCAGUCAAGACGCUUUUCAAGCUCUCGUCUCUCUCAUUGAAUAUAGAAUCCGCCGGCGACAUGCAAGAUCCGAUCACCACCACUUCCUCCGUCUCCGGAGAUUCCCACGCGUUCCAGAGAUGGAAACAGAAUGUCUCCGGCGAAUUUACCCAGAUUAUCUCAGAACCAUCCGUCGCGUCUCUUGGCAUUAUCCCAAAUCGCGAGACCUUAUCCCCAUCGAAAACCACCGGAGAUUUUCCGGCGAGCAUCUCCCCGAGCUUAAACACGACUUGUUGAUCCGGGAUCACCACGAAAUUCUCCGUUAUAGCGAAAUCGUGAAUCAUCGUCGGAGUCUCGAGCGGAAUCUCCAAUUCCGGCGAUUUAACGCCGUCCGGCGAGAAUCUGAAGUAUUUCAGGUAAGGCUUCUUCACGACGUCGUAGCUCAGCGCGUGGAGCUCCUUCGUUACCGGGUCGAGUUUCGGGUGGGCGAUCAUCGCGGAUUUUAACUGACCCUCGAAAUCGUAACGCCCAACGGUUUGGAGAUCGCCGGUUUGAGUUAUUUUCAAUUGGUACGGUAAAUCGUCUUCUGACAUGGCUAAAAGCCGGUUAUUGAAGUAAACCAAACCGGCGUUGGCUACUCCGACGCCGUUUUGGUUGUUGAUGAGACCACAGAGCCCUCGCGCGUAAAAAAGCAUCAGCCGAGCGAUUCCCGAGUGGCCGUGAAGCUCGCCGAUUGCUUUGGGAAAAACCGGUCGACCCAGUCGUUUUUCCUGAACCAAUCUCUCGGUUUUAGUAAACCGGCAGGCGUAGCUAGCUGAACCGUUGGUUAUUUUAACGGCGUGAACCAUACCGUCUCCGUCGAAUAAAUGGUGCCCGGCGAUCGGCUCAAACAUUGGAUUUGCGCCGUUACGGACGUAAACUCCGUCAAUGCAGGCAGGGAUUGUUCCUUCGACGGCGAGAGAUUUUAGAACGGGAGAUUCCGGUACCGGAGAAUAGUUUCCGGCAAUCUGAACACGUGGAUCGGCGGUUUUGGGAAGAAGAGUACCUUGCUCGCGUGAUAUCAGCGCACGCUCAGCCGCGUCGAUCGCAAUCGCCGCCGCUUUCUGAAAGAUAUUUAGCCGCGGAGGAUUAUGCUGCGGCGGAGACGCGGUGGUUCUGGGUGUAAAUAAAGGCCGUUUAAGGGGUAAUUCCGUUACGUCGAUCUGCACCGUGCAUUUAAUCUCCGGCUGUCUUUUAAUGGGCCUAAAGCCUAAAUCAAUUUGGGCUUGCGGCCAUGUUUUAGUACCACCUAUCGACAUUGUAAGCGGAGAUACCAUGGCUUUUGUUAUGAUCUUCGUUCGAAUUUUGAGACUGAUUGUAUCUUGUUUUUGGUCUGAAGAGUGAGAGCGAGAGGGAGAGAGAGAGAGAGAGAGAGAGAGAGAGAAGAGAGAAGAGAGAGAGGAAAAGAAAGGAAAGUUCGAUGAUAAGAAAAACGAAGAAAGAGAAACUAUAUAUAGAGUUGGGUAAAAGAGAGAGAUAGAGAGUAAUAUCUAUUUUCUUCAAUACAACAUUUAAGAAAUGACUUCAAAUCAGGCAUGUAUUAUAUUACAUAAAAUGUUCCAGGAAAAAAUCAUCUAAAACUAAAUAACUUUUGAGUUCCCUUGUUAUUAAGAGCAAAUCCAGAAAUUCAUCAAGUCAAAAAAAUUAUUAGGAAAAAAUCCUUUUUUUAUAUAUAUAUCGUAUUAGAAAAAUGAUUUGAAAUCAUGUGUUUAUACACAACAAAUCAAACAUUUAAGAUUUAUUAAAGAUCUAAAAUCUACACAAUAAAAUCAAAAACCAAAAACUUAAACAUUAAAGACUAAAACCAAAAACUUAAACAUUAAAGACUAAAAGCCAAAAACCAAAAACGGCUUUAAAAACUACAACCAUUUAUGGUACAUGUAUAUAUAUAAUCAUUAUAAACCAUUUAAAUUAUGAUUUAAAUGAAAUAAAUGUAAUUGCUAUUAUUAUUAUUAUUAUUAUUAAGAUUCACAAAUAAAAUUAAAUUAAACCUUCUCCUAAGAAAUAGAUUUCACAAAUUAAGAUCUGUUGAAUUCUAUUUUUUUUUAAUAUUCGGAAAAUAAUUUGAAAUUAUGUGUUACAUUAAAUGUCAUUGGAACUAAACUUUUAAACUAAUCUGUAAACAGUAUUUUUUUUAAAAAAAAAAUAAUACUGCUAUAAUAUGCCAAUAGAUCUGCUAAACCCAAACGUUUUAAUUCAAAAGGUGGAAAUUCAGUUCUUCAUCGUUUUUCUUUUAAUAUUUGGUUAUAUAAUUGUAGGUGUGUAUGUGGUUUUGCUCAUUUGAUGUAUCAUGGAUGAAUUAAUUUUUGUUAUGAUUUGGUACAAGUGAAUGAAUCAGAUGCUUAAAAAAAAAAACUUAUCAAAUGCUUAAAAAAAAAACUUUACUCCAAUAAUUUCUAAUUGUGAUCUUUGUAAUCAAAUUUUUAUUUACGAACUAAAAAUUAAAAAAUAUAAAUUUCUCAACGAGAUUUCAAUAAACUAAUAUCUCUCACUCCAUGCGUCGGAAUAUAUUUAUUUUUUAAAAAAUUAUUAAGUUAUGAUUUAUAAAGUAAAUUAAAAUUUACUAUUUGGAUCAGAAACUGGAGUGCAGAGUCGUGCCUGAACACAGGUUAAUGAAGCAUGUGCUUCAGGGCCGGAGGAGUUAAAUAUUUUUUUGGGGCCAAUUUUCCAGAGUUUGAGUCAGUCCAAAUGGUUUGUGAAUAGGUGAAAGCAUGUUUGGUUAAAAGUUUGCCUGAGUUCGAUUCUUUCCAAACGCAUAUUUGUCAUUUUUUUUGUCAAUUAUUUCUGGACUAAACUGCAUUAAGAAAAAUUUUAAAGGGUCAAUUGUUUUUCUCACUUAUAAUUAGAGAAAUCUCAGAUACGGCAGUGCAUUUGUUAUUUUCUAUAUACGUCGAUGUGGAGCGUCAUAAUCUAUGGGUUAAUUGUCGAAAUCAUCAUUCUUCUCCAAUCUUUCAAGGAAAACCUUGGUUAAUUAUGGGUGAUUUUAGUGAAAUAUCGGCAGUUGAUGAUCAUUCAGAUUUCUGAAUGUCGUUGUCCCAUCUGUUAUGAAGGAUUUUCAUGAGGUUAUGUCUAUUUGUACACUUACAGAUUUUCCUACCAUGGUCUUAAUUUUACAUGGUGGACACAUCAAGACCAUAAUACCAUCAGCAAUAAAUUUGGUCGUGCUUUUAUCAGUGAUUCCUGGUUAAUCAAUUUCCAAACUUCUUAUCAUCUUAUGCUUUAUUUGAUACGGGCAGAACUUCAUACCAUGCUUGGUGGAUGAUUCGCUUAGUCUUUCGCUUAGUCUCUCAAGACGCACUGUCUCACAAACCUUUCAAACUUUUUAAUGUUUUUGUCCUAAAAAAAAAGCAAUGGAGUCAAUACUACACUUGUAUGUAUAUAAACAAAAUUGAUUUUUUUUUCUGAAAAGCAUUAAAAGAAUAUAAAAUUAAAAUAUACUACUAAUACACUAAUACUGAAACCAGAUGUUAAUAAGAGUCUUUUGAAGUCAUAGCCUAGCUCCAUGACGUUAGCGGAGCAUUUCCUUUCUCUCCUUGUGAGGAUAGUGUCUAGGAUUAGUCAAUCAAUUGCUUUGAAAAUUACGCAUGAAAAUUAGUUUCUUCUUACGACAGAGCUGUUCCUGCAACUCUGGAGAUUAUAAAUUAUUAAAAGAAAUAUGGUCCAUUUUAAAUUUUUGUAUAGAAAUAGAGAUUUUUUGUUCGACUCACCAAUAAAUUAAUGCUUCGUUUUUUCUAACAUGUUUAAUAAUAUUAGUAAUUUUUACAAUUGCUAAAAUAAUUUAAACUUAGGAAAAGCCUUUUGCUUCAAAUUCCAUAGUGAUGAUGUAGACGAAAAAUACCCAAAAAAAUAUGAACUAUGAAAACUUUCACAUAGUUGAUCCUGAGUUUUACGAAAUAAAAUAAACAAUAUAGAAAUAUCUUGUAAAUUAAAUAGAUUUUUUAUUAUAAAGUAAAAACAAGAAGUGAUAUAUUUGUUUCAUUUAGUUAAUUAUUAUUACUGUUACUGACAUGAUGAGAUCUGAUCACAAUCCAACAAGCGUAUCUGAGGAAAAAGAGGUCAAGAUUUUAUGUAUAGUGUGUUCACAUUCUAUACACAUGAAGAUGCUGAGACUCUGAUAGUACCCAUCAGACCAGGCUAAAUAAACAAACCGAAUUUUAUAAUUGUAUUCUAAUAUGUAGUGAAACCUAGAACCAAAACCUAGGAUUAAAUUUACCCCCGACAUUAGUUUAGCUUUGUAAUAAAACGUACAACAACAUAAUACUGGCACAUCUAUACGAAUAUUGUUGGGAUAUAUUUCCAUCAAUGUAAUUUUUUGACGAUGGUACUAAAUGUUUAAAACUUUAGGGGCUAACUAUGUUUGUUUUAUCAGGUUCUUAUAAUUGAAAGUACAGAACUACUAUUUACUCUCGAAAUAUUAAUGUCAAUUAUUUUCAUUAAAGUUUAGUUAGAGAAAACCUUGCAUUAGAUUAUAAAACCCUAAACUAUCAUCGAAUUUGACUAGAAAAACUGGAACAAAAGUGAGUAAAUGUAGGCAGAAACAGGAUGAUUGCUAGCUAGUCGCAGAAAGUUCCUGAAUGCUGCUAGCUAGAUCCAACUGUUAUACGUGUCCAAAUUUUUAAAUAAACAACCAUUUUAAGAACGUCGAGGUGGUAAUUUAUAUGAAUUGAAUAAUGAAUUUGGUUAUGCCAAGAAAAAAUAAUAUUAGUUUAACCUGUCAGUUUUAGACUUCGCUAUCUACCUAUUGUGAUAAAGAUGACUAGAAAGUAAUUUGAUUGGUAAGAUCAAAAACUAAUUCGAGAGUGGUUAAUAAUAGAAUUAAGGCAGGUAAGAUAUAAGCAAAUCCAUAAAUAAAAAUAGGGAAUGUGCGUAUUAUGGUUUGACCAUCCUAUAGCCAUUAUCAACAUUUGAUCAUGACCAACUCAUUCACACUCGCACAGUUCACAGACCAUUAGAAAACAAGUAUCUUUAAUACUAAUGAUUAUGAUUCAAUAUGUGGAAGAGAAAUUCAUUGAAAAAAAAAAACAAAUUUCGCAUAAACAUAAUUUAUAAUUAUCAUUUUAACGUAUUUAACCAAACGUUGUCUUUAUCAGUGUAAAAUUUUCAUGGAUCAUUGGAAUCGUCAAAUGAAUUUAUAAAAAUUACAUAAUUAUAGAUACAAAGGAUUUUUUGGUCAUAUCAAAAAAUAAAUGUGUUAAAUUCAAAAACUUAUAGAUUCGAAUAUUAAUUGCAAAUUUAUUUCUUCAAAAAGAAUAAUUCUGAAAUCUUUUAAUUAUUAAAAAUGCAUCAUUUAGUUUUGGUUUUACAUUGUACGCCAUUUCAAAUUCGUAAAUUAAAAACACUCGUAAAACCAUCUGAGAAUAUAACAUACGUAUUUGUAAAAAAGAAGAAGAUAUAUAUUCGAAAAGCCGAAAGAUAUUUGAGAAUUGAUUGUUUGACAAAUCCACCGACCUCGUCAAAAAGAAAACUUUUCCAUACUUGAAGGUCCCCUGACUAUUAUAAUCAUUGGAAUUGGGGAUCCUUAUUCUCUAUUUUUAGUUAGGUUCUGUUAUGAAAACAUAAUUUAUUUCGUCAAUAGUCACUUAUAAUUUUUUAAAAUUCAACAGUCUAUCGCUUGAAAUACACGCUAUAGUAAUCCUUAUUCAAAAUGACAAUGUAACAUCCACUAUUAAAAUGCUUAAGGAUUUAUAAUCCAACUAUUGUUAAGUGAAUGAUCCAAUAUGUAUCUAUAAUCUAUAAUAGAUAAUUCAAUUUCACAUAUUGUAAAUGAAAGUUUAACAAACCAUUAGCAAAAUAUCACAUACUUUACAGUUUUUUAAAUUC
rnacentral:lncRNA from 1 species